rnacentral:lncRNA from 1 species
UUGUGUAUUGUUCUUUACUGUCAAGUCUGAAGUUAGUGUUUCUUGAGUGAGCUGCGGAAGCUACUACCGUCUGUUAUCUGCUCCAUCUAUGCGCUGACGAACAAGUUAAUUAGGUGGCUGGUGUGUGCUUGUCGACCGCCAUGGCGGACGACUCAUCGUCCCCGACAUCUUACAUUCCUUCGUAAAUAAGUUUGGUCAUCUUUUGGUGCAUGCGAUGGUCUUGUGGACCGUUGUGUUUGUUGUUUGUGAUUCAGGCCAUCACUAGCUACUGUGAUAUGUUGUGCAAACUACUGUCUGAUUGUCCUCGCCUUUUGUAAGAGUGCCCUUCUCUAAGAAUUAUGUAACAUUUUUUAUGUUGACUACAUAUUAGUUACACUGAUGCACUUUCGGUUCUGAAGCUUUAGCGGAACUAUAUGGUUUGCUUCUGAUAUCUAAUAACCCAACUAUAGUACUUGCUGAGGACCCAUCGUCUUGGCUUAAUUCUGCAACCAAUUAUAUAUUUAUAUUUCCACUUUGGCAUGAACUUCCACAUCAACUGUUCUAUUGUGCAUCCUGCUUCCUUUGCUUUUGUUAUAUCCAAUUUUACUGCCCCUUUGUAUUGCUUUGAGAAAAUGUUCCAGGCUAUUGGUUUAAUUUAGUGGGUUGAACUAUCAAAAGCAAUCAUUAUAAUUCUCAUUUGCCAAAUGUACUAGGUUGAUCCAUCCCAAACAAUAAUUCUAAUUUCCAUUUGGUGACAUUAAAUGCUUUGUUUAAGCGCUUGAAUAGUACGUUGAGCCAGGCACCCUCGCGCCUUGGCGCAUUGCCGAUCUAGUCAUCUCAUUAACUCGAGUCAUCUAGGGAGCAAGCAUAGGUUUGCACUAUUUUUCGUACUUGUAUAUUGGGCCGUAUACCUAAAAAAAGACUGACACAUGCGAAUCGUUAAGCACAUUCCCGCGAGGGGGAGGAUACUCUGCCUGACGCUCGGCCUCUGCGAAAGAUUUUUUUUUCUUUUGCCACGACCUGGAGGGAGACCCGGACGUGAAUUGGUCAAACUAACCUUGACCCGGAGAACUGCCCACGAUCCAUGGUUCUUUUGGCUCCGCCUCCAACACCAACCCGUCAGCCGCCAAUGAAUCGCCCUCGCCGGCCGUUGUCGACCGGUCGCCUUGGCUUUGAUUCCGCCUCGCCGCGGGCAUUCUUCAGCCGCGGCCGCAUCAAGUUACCGGUGGUGUUGAGUUCGUUUGGCUAUUAAGCCGCCCGCAUCCACUGCUUACGUUCACCGCCGCGCCGGGAGUCACUUCACUUUCGCCGGCGUGCUAACCACUUCCGGGCAGACCCCUACGGCCGUGACCCUGUGCUGCCGCGCGUGAAGUCGCCCCUGUAGUUGUGCGGCCCGCCUCUUCAGCCGCCGUCCAGUUCUCCUUGCCGCCGCGGUGAGCUGUUGCUCGAGAACCGCUCCUACCUCACUCUGUCAUGGCCCGUGUUAGACUAUGUAUAGCUUCUGUACUUAUGUACGUAUAUUGUACGUAUUGUAACACAUCCAUUAUAUAUAAUGAGAUAAGCCACCCCUAGAGGGUUGUGCUGGUUCCCCCAAAUCUUAUUGUCUUACAUGGUAUCACGCUAGGUUACGAUCGCUUCCACUUCCAAACCCUAAUACCCGCACCGCCGCCGCAGCCGCCGCCGCCUUCACCGCCGCCAUGACGAGCGCCGCCACCAUCGGUUCCACUGCUGCGGGGUUCUUCCCGGCCUAUCUUGCGGCUCUGCUCAACCUCCCGCUCGAUGUCGUCGCCGUUCCGGCUCCGAUUGGGACCAGGAGCAUCGGCUCCGUCUACUCCACGCCGCCGGCGCCCUCGCUUGGGCGCGACCUCGUGGUCCACACCGCGGCGCCGCCGUCCGCUGCGGACUCCGCGGGCGUCGUCCCGCCGCUCCUGCCGCAAGCAGAUCACACCGCCCCGCUGGCGGGGUUGGCGGCGUCCGCCCCGGCCGCGGGCCUUGCGGCGUCCGACCCGGCCGCGAGCUUUGCGGCGUCCGCCCUGGCUGCGGUCCCGCCUCCUCCCGCAUCGGUUUCGGUGCCUCCGGCUGCCUCCAUGGUGUUUGCACCCCAGGCAGCCCCCUCGAUGGGAUCGUCUUCGCCGCCGCCGUUUCACUUCGGUCAUCUCAUCACCAUCAAGCUCUCCGCCGACAACUACAUCUUCUGGCGUGCGCAGGUUCUCCCGCUCUUGGGGAGUCACUACCUGCUAGGCUACGUCGACGGAUCGCUUCCCUGCCCACCCGCACUGGUAGACAGCGUGCACGGUCCGGUCUACAAUCCGGCCCGUCGCGUCUGGACGGGGCAGGACCAGGCGAACCUCUCCUCCAUCCAGGGGUCGCUCUCGCCGGCAGUUGCCGGACUUGUUGUCUUCGCGAAGACGUCUCAUGAGGCCUGGACCAUCCUUGAGCGAACCUUUGCAGCGCAGUCCCAGGCUCGUGUCUCUGCACUCCGUCGUCAGCUUGGAGAGUGUCAGAAGUUUGACUCCACUGCCACUGAGUUCUACAACAAGGUCAAGGGCCUCGCCGACACAUUGGCCUCCAUUGGACAGCCCCUCACCGACUCUGAGUUCAACUCGUUUAUUGUCAAUGGUCUUGAUGAGGAGUAUGAUGCCUUAGUCGAGAUCAUCAACAAGCGGGGCAACUCGACACCCAUGCUGGCACACGAGGUUUUCUCUCGGCUCCUUCUCACUAAGCAACGGGUCGAGACACGCCGCUCCACGGGCACUGGCUCCCUCUCGGCCAACGCCGCCACCAAGGGUGGCCGCUCUUCUUCAUCACCCCGGUCUCCCUUGGGGCUGCCACCGUCGCCCGCCUCGGCCAACCCACCUACUGCGACCUUACCGGGGGCUGGCGGUCCACGUGUGUGCCAGCUUUGUGGCCGCGAUGGGCACUGGGCCUCCAAGUGUCAUAAGCGCUUCCAGCGAAGCUUCCUUGGUCCUGGCAAUGACGGCAAAGAUACACGCAACAAUGCCCGUCAGGUCGCCAUGGCUGAUCGUCCCGCGCCGCAGAAGCAACAGGGACACACUCAGUCCUACUCCAUCGAUCCACACUGGUACAUGGACUCUGGGGCGAUAGAGCAUCUGACCAGCGAGAUGGGGAAGCUUCACACUCGUGAACCCUAUCAUGGCUCCGACAAGAUCCACACCGCCAAUGGAGCAGGUAUGCACAUCUCUCAUAUUGGUCAAGCAUCUCUUCUCACUAGACAUGCCAAUAGGAGUCUUCAGCUUCGCAAUGUUCUUCGAGUUCCAUCUGUGACCCGUAAUCUUCUUUCAGUUCCUAAACUCACACGUGAUAAUAAUGUGAUUUGUGAAUUUCACCCUUUUGAUCUUUUUAUUAAGGAUCGGGGCACGAGGGACAUUCUUCUUAGUGGGCGGUUGUGCCAGGGCCUCUACCGUCUGGAGCAUCCUGGCGUCGCCCGUGUUUUCGGUGGAGUUCGGGUCUCUCCGUCACAGUGGCAUGCUCGUCUUGGUCACCCGGCCACACCUAUUGUCCGUCAUAUUUUGCGUCGUCAUGAGCUUCCUAGUUUGUCUAGCAAUAAAGAUGUAGCAGUGUGUGAUGCUUGUCAGCAGGGGAAGAGUCAUCAACUUCCUUUUUCGGAGUCUAGCCGUGAGGUGAAACAUCCUUUAGAACUUGUGUUUUCAGAUGUAUGGGGUCCUGCUCAGACUUCUGUCAGUGGUCAUAAUUACUAUAUCAGUUUCGUUGAUGCUUAUAGUCGCUUUACCUGGCUUUACCUUAUUAAACGCAAAUCUGAUGUGUUUGAUAUUUUUGUUCAGUUUCAAAAACAUGUUGAACGUCUUCUCAAGCACAAAAUUGUUCAUGUCCAGUCGGACUGGGGGGGCGAGUAUCGCAACCUCAACUCCUUCUUUCAGUCGCUUGGGAUAGCUCAUCGUUUAGCAUGUCCACAUACACAUCAGCAGAAUGGUUCAGUCGAACGUAAGCAUCGUCAUAUUGUUGAAGCUGGUCUUACUCUUUUGGCCCAUGCAUCUGUUCCGUUUCAGUUUUGGAAUGAUGCUUUCACCACUGCAUGCUUUCUCAUCAACCGUACUCCCACUCGUGUUUUAAACAUGAAGAUUCCCAUUGAGGUUCUCCUUAAUGAACAACCUGAUUAUACCUUUUUCAAGGUAUUUGGGUGUGCUUGCUGGCCGCAUCUUCGUCCAUAUAAUAAGCGCAAGCUUGAGUUUCGUUCUAAGAAGUGUGUUUUUCUUGGCUAUAGAUCUCUUCAUAAAGGUUACAAAUGUCUUCAUGUUCCCACUAAUCGUGUCUAUAUAUCUCGGGACGUCGUGUUUGAUGAGCAUGUUUUUCCCUUUGCCAAACUUCCUGUGUCCACUGUCGAACCACCAUCUCUGCAUUCAUCCUCUGUUGCUUCUGACCAAUUUGAUGAUGUUGCAUACUCUCCUUUGCUGUUACCUAACCAUGGUGCAGGAACCGGACGUGGGGCUCGUUUGGAGCUGUUGGAGGAUUCACCAUCAUCAUCGCCGCCUUUUGAUGGGCACGUCGAUCGCCCUAUGUUGCAUGACAUCGAUUCGCGUGCCCAUGCAUGGUCACCCAAAGAGCCCGUCGCGCCGAGCAUCUCCACUGCUCGGUCCGCUACGCCAGCGACCGCCGAGUCUCCAGCGGCUCGGCCCUCUUCGCCAGCGGCCGCCGAGUCUUCAGCGGCUCGGCCUGUCACGCCGUCUUCGUCCGUGGCUCGGCCUGUCACGCCGUCUUCGCCUGCAGCUCGGGUCCGCGACGCCGUCCUCACGUCACCUUCAUCCACGGAUCGGCCCGCGACACCGGCCGUGCCACGGCCCACUAUGCCGGGCUCGCCAUCGGCCCGGUCUGUGACGCCAGCGUCGCCAGCUGCUUCGUCUGCUCUGCCGGUUUCGCCAGUGGGCCGGCCUUCUUCGCUGACCGAGCCCGAGGCUACUGUGUCUGGCUCCUCGUCACCGGCUGACUCGUCAACGUCGCCGUCCUCCAGCCCGUUGCAGGCUGCUCCGUCAACCUCGGUGGUUCCUGUGUCCCGACCACAUACACGCAGUCGCAGUGGCAUUUUCAAACCUAAGGAACGUAAGGAUGGUACGGUUGCUUGGUUGGCUGCUUGUUUGGCUGCUGCUGUUGCGGAUCCAUCUUCUGAGCCUCGCUCAUAUCAGGCUGCCCUGCGCAUUCCACAUUGGCGAGAGGCUAUGGAGCAGGAGUUUCAUGCUCUCCUUCGUAACAAGACAUGGACUCUCGUUCCUCCACCACCACGGGUAAAUGUUAUUGACUCAAAAUGGGUAUUCAAAGUGAAGAAGCAUUCGGAUGGAUCUAUUGAGCGUUACAAAGCGCGACUUGUUGCUCGCGGUUUUCGGCAGCGCCAUGGUCUUGACUAUGAGGACACCUUCAGUCCUGUCGUCAAGCCUACCACUAUUCGGCUUCUUCUCUCCAUUGUUGUUUCUCGUGGUUGGUCACUUCGUCAACUUGAUGUGCAGAAUACUUUUCUACAUGGAUUUUUGGAGGAAGAGGUUUAUAUGAAACAGCCGCCUGGUUUCUCUAAUCCUGAUCGUCCUGACUAUAUCUGUCGUCUCUCCAAAGCACUAUAUGGUUUGAAGCAAGCUCCUCGUGCCUGGCAUGCCCGCCUUGCCUCUGCCCUUCGUGCUCAUGGGUUUGUGCCGUCCACUGCUGACACUUCAUUAUUUCUUCUACAGAAGCCAGAAGUCACUAUGUAUCUUUUGGUAUAUGUCGAUGAUAUUAUCCUUGUCAGCUCUUCUCAGUAUGCUGCUGAUGCUCUUGUCUGCUCUCUUGGUGCUGAUUUUGCGGUCAAAGAUCUUGGGAAGCUUCACUACUUUCUUGGAGUUGAGGUCAUUUCUCGUGCUACUGGUCUUGUCCUUACGCAGAAGAAGUACUCCUUGGAGUUGUUACAAAGAGCGGGCAUGCUGAAGUGCAAACCGACCACCACACCCAUGUCGUCUACCGACAAGAUAACAGCUGUUGAUGGUGAGCUUUUGUCUCCUGCGGAUGCCACAGAGUACAGGAGCAUUGUUGGUGGACUUCAGUACUUGACGAUCACGAGACCAGAUAUCUCUUAUGCUGUUAACAGGGUUUGUCAGUAUCUUCAGGCUCCCAGAGAUACUCAUUGGGCUGCUAUUAAACGCAUUCUUCGUUAUGUUCAAUUCACCCUGACAUUUGGUAUGCAUAUUCGGCCGACUUCCUCUCGGGUCCUUUCGGCCUUCUCUGAUGCAGAUUGGGCUGGUAGCCCAGAUGACAGGCGAUCCACGGGGGGUUAUGCAGUAUUCUUUGGCCCUAAUUUGAUCGCCUGGAGUGCUCGGAAACAGGCUACUGUGUCACGUAGCAGUACUGAAGCUGAGUACAAGGCUGUGGCUAAUGCUACUGCAUAGAUUAUUUGGGUGCAGUCUUUGCUUCAGGAGUUGGGUUUGUCUCAACCACAGCCUCCUAUUCUUUGGUGUGAUAACAUCGGUGCUACAUACCUUUUUGCAAAUCCAGUAUUUCAUGCCCGAACGAAACACAUUGAAGUUGACUAUCACUUUGUACGGGAACGUGUAUCACAGAAGCAACUCCAGAUCAAGUUUAUCUCAUCUAAGGAUCAACUUGCAGACAUCUUCACUAAGCCUUUACCUCUGCCACAGUUUGAGGCUUGUAGGCGCAAUCUUACCCUUCUUAGUUCUUUAGAAAGUGGCUAAGAUUGAGGGAGGGUGUUAGACUAUGUAUAGCUUCUGUACUUAUGUACGUAUAUUGUACGUAUUGUAACACAUCCAUUAUAUAUAAUGAGAUAAGCCACCCCUAGAGGGUUGUGCUGGUUCCCCCAAAUCUUAUUGUCUUACAGCCCGCCAUUGGCCUCAGUUGCUCGUUUCCGCAGAGUAGCCAUGAGCCGCCGUAUCUUCUCUCGGCCCCCGCAGAGAGCCGCCCUGCGCCUCUGGCCUCCAUCCAUUGAGCCGCCACGGGUCGACCGUCCGAGCUGCAGCUGCUGCCGCCGGCUCACCUCUGCGUCGAGUCGCGCCUCGCCGUUGAGCCGCCUGCGUCAACCGCCAAGGGUCGCCUGCGCUGCUUCCGCGGCCUCGCCAAGUUGCCACUGCUGUCAUGGCCUUCACCCUGAGCCGCCAGUGCGCCUCCGUGGCGUCAUGCCGCCUCAUCCGCGGACGCGCCAAUCCGCCGUCGCUUCUCGCGGCCCCGCCUUGGUCGCAGCAAGCUGCACCGGCCUCGCGCACUCCUCCGACGUGGUGUCGGUGAGCCGCCAUCGCCUCUGAGGGGCCCCUGCGGCCAUCGUCAACUCGCGCACCUGCUGAGCCGCCCUGGCCUCUGCUCCAAGCCGCAGCCUCGAGUCACCGCCGACCGUUUUGAACCGGCCACGCCUCCACCUAACCACGCGAGUUCGCGGUGCGCCAAGCCGCCGUGCAUGAUUCUGAGCCGCCGCGUCCUCAACUCACCUUCAAGAUGGUACACAGCAAGAAGAAGUCAUAGCCGGACGAGCCGCGUUGUCUGCGAGUGUUCCAAAUUCUUUCUUAAGUUCAGCAGCUCCUCUUGCGAAGAAAAAGCUGCCUUCGGAUGGAUAUCUAAGGUUGAAGCAGAUCUGAUGUUAUAAGUUAAACGGCGAAAAGGAUUGAAAGAAAUCUACGCAACCGUGUGUAUGCAUCACGGUAUGAUGGAUGAUGGGCAUGCACCUCCAAGCUUGAUGGAUGAUGGGCACUGUUUGGACGUGGAGUCACAGUUCAACAAUUUGAAAUUUUCCCCGGAUCAGUACGCCCAGUGAAAAAUGAUCCGGUGAAGACCGCACCAAACGUCCGCUCCUUACUAAGCCGUAACCUUGGUAUUUAAGCCGCCGUUUCCGUUGCUGCGGUCGUGAGUCGGCCACACCUCUGCUACUACAGUCAACAGCUGCGGCCCGCGACCGCUGCUUCUACGACCCUCCUCCGGGCUGCCCCGUGCAUCAAGGCUUUGUCGCCUAAACCGCCGUGGCUUGCCUGAGCCGCCUCCUCUGCUUCGACCCGCCACUGCCGUGCGUUGCUGCCGCGCUAUCGAGCCGCCGGCUUUUUCACUCCCUGAGCCGUCGUCCUGCUUCACCUCCGAGCCGCCGUGGGAUCUCGCCCCGCCGCAGGCCUUCGCACCAGCAGCUGCGUUGGACCGCCCAGUCGCCGGCUCCAUACCGCCUGUUCUGCCGCCGCUGUGGCUUCGCCCGGCCUUCUGAGCCGCCCAAUCGCCAGCUCCGACCCACCUUGAGCGUGGCUGCGUUGUUGCUGCUGUGGCAUGCCGUAUAAGCUGCCGGUUGCGGCUGUUGCUCCCCUACGAGUCGCUCCCGCCUUGUCGCCGCACAGCUGCGCCUGAGCCGCCCGCGGCACACAUCCACCCUCGCGGCUGCGCUAAGCCGCCUCGCGCCGGUGACUCCGUUGCCCCGGGCACCCGCUCCCCUACAAUUUUUGACCUGCGGUUCCAUCGCUUUUCCAGCAAUCCGCUGAGACGCCUCUGUUGAGCCGCCCCGUGCGACUCCGCCGCAGAGCCGCCGAGCACUACCUCUGCAUCACGCAGACAUUAAAAUCGCCUCUGCGGCCGACGGGCCGGGAGACAACGGCGGGGGGUAUAUGAUCAAGGAUUUGACAACAAGGGAGGUCACCGUCGUCGAGGGGCUCGCAUCACCCGCUCCACGUCUGUGCCAGCGGCCCGUGAGCCGGCCCUUGCAGCGGCCUCGCUCGCCAGAUGCCCGCCUUCGCCAUCGCCGGGUGGCCUCCCCUCCGCCUGAGCCGCCCCGUCGAGCCCCCUGCGCCGUGAGCCGCCACGGCCUCGCGUUUGUUUUUGUCGCAGUUUCCUGAAAUCGCUGCGCCGGCUCUCUCCGUUGCUGCGCCCCCAUAGUGUGUUGCCUUAGGGCAUCUCCAGCCGUUCGGCCCCCCAGGACGCGUAUAUAGAGCGGCCUGGGGGCGUGACAGCGCAAGUUCGGCCCCUGGGGGCGACCUAGCGCCCAGUCACGCCCCCACGCGCCGGCCCCAGGCGUAGGAAUUUUAAACUUGGUCGUUUCCCGCUCACAAAAGACGCUGCAAUCCGGCGAUCGAACGUAGUCUGGGCGUUUACAAAAAGCAGAGUUCGUGUGCACAAUGUUUCAUCACUCGGCGGGGUCGGCUCCAGGCGUUGUCGGUGUCGGGGCUGCUUCCGUGCUGGGCUGUGUCUCCGCGGCUUCGGCACUGCUGGGCGACGUAGAGGCGUCGUCUGGGCUUGGCGUCCGGGUGGUCGUCGGCGUCGUCGGCGUCGUCGGCGUAGGCGUUACCGCCGGCAGCUCGUUCAGGAUGAGGCCGCGCUGCACCAGGUACCACGCCUUGAGCUUCUCAUCGGUGCUCUGGAGCAUGUCUGCCCCGCUCAUCAGAAAAGCCAUGUCGGUGUUCCUCUUCUUCGCGGCGACGUUCGUCCGGAGCAGGUCGAGUUUGAUGGCGUUGUUCUUCAUCAGCGACGACCACCACGCCUCGGUCUUCUCUUCGCACAGGACGGCCCGGGCCUUCGCGUCGGCGAGGCAAUGCUCGAUGGACUCCUGUACUCGCGCGGUUGCCGCGUCGGUGUUUUUCCCCUUCUUCGCCAACUUGUUGCCGUCCGGCCGCCCCUCUGACGCGCCCGGAGUCGGCGCGUCCAGCUUGUACGUCUCCUUGGCCUUGUCCAGGGCACGCCGGACUUCCGUCCACUUCUCGCAUUUGUCAAUGCGCUUGUAGACGUGGAGGUGCUUGAAGUCGGCGUCUUGGUUGUCGCCCCGAUACAUGGCGAACAUACGCAGCAGCUGCGCGGAGAGACGAACAGUUCACGGGCGGCGGGCGUAGGAGGACGAAGAUAUGCGGGCGAACGGUGGGCGUACCCGAUCCUCAACGCUGGCGCCGCUCUCCGGGCGCGCCGCGACCUCCUCGACGAUUCCAUGCCAUUUGUUGCAUGCCAACUGGAUACGCCCCCAAUGGUUCGCCAUCGCCUUCGCUCCGCGCUGCAUGUAGACGCCUUUGAAGUAGGGGUCGACGAGCUUCCGCUCGUCGAACUCGGCCUUGAUGUGGUCCCAGUACGUCUCCAAGCUCUGAUUCGUGCCGGUGGUCGGGUCGAGGCAGACGACUUUCCAUGCUUCGGCGAGGCAUUCCUCCUCCUUGGACGUCCACUUGAUGCGCGGUUCGCCCGGCCUAGCCGCCCGCCGUUUCUUCUUCUGGCGCCCCUUCGCCGGAACAGGAGCCGGCUCCUCCUCCUCCUCGUCCUCCUCCUCCUCCUCCUCCUCGGGUUCCUGCCCGUCGUCGCCGUAGACGUAGCCGAGCUCGGCCUCCAUGUCGCCGCUGAGAUCCACUACCUCGUCCUGGGUGGCGAAUCCGGGAGACGAGGCGGCCGCGGUCGAUCCUGUCGCGAUGAUGUCGUCCAUGUCGGCUCCCGUGUCGUCGGCGUCGCCGAGAUGCGAGAAGGGUAGCGGACCGCGGUAGAGAUGGGGCGUCGGGGUGGACGCGUAGGCGGCAGGCGGCGAGUAGGUGUAUGGAGGGUACUGGACGUCGACGAAGGCGGGCGAGGGCGUGCGCGCGCCGGGGUGACCAUGAGGGAAGGUCACGUUUGGGUUGAACCUGUUGGAGAACGUUGCAGAAAACAAAAAUUUUCCUACUCGUUUCACCAAGAUCAUCUAGGAGUUCAUCUAGCAACGAGUGAUUAGAUGCAUCUACAUACCUUUGUAGAUCGCGCACGGAAGCGUUCAAAAGAACGGUGAUGAUGUAGUCGUACUCCACGUGAUCCAAAUCACCGAUGACCAGCGCCAAACGGACGGCACCUCCGCGUUCAACACACGUACGGGACGGGAGACGUCUCCUCCUUCUUGAUCCAGCAAGGGGGAAGGAGAGGUUGAUGAAGAUCCAGCAGCACGACGGCGUGGUGGUGGAUGCAGGGCGUCACAGCAGCAGGGCUUCGCCGAGACUACGAGGGAGAGACGUAACGGGGGGAGAUGGAGGCGCCAGGCGCUGGUCUGAAAUCCCUCCUCUCCCCCCACUAUAUAUAGGGGUGCCAGGGGGGGCGCCGGCCCUAGUAGAUGAGAUCUACUAGGGGGGGUGGCGGCCAAGGGGAGGUUUCCCUCCCCCAAGGCACCUAGGGGUGCCUUCCACCACUAGGACUCCUCCUUGGUGGAAACCCUAGGCGCAUGGGCCUAUAGGGGCUGGUGCCCUUGGCCCAUCUAGGCCAAGGCGCACCCCCUACAGCCCAUGUGCCCCCCCGGGACAGGUGGCCCCACCCGGUGGACCCCCGGGACCCUUCCGGUGGUCCCGGUACAAUACCGAUAACCCCGAAACUUGUCCCGAUGCCCGAAAUAGCACUUCCUAUAUAUAAUUCUUUACCUCCGGACCAUUCCGGAACUCCUCGUGACGUCCGGGAUCUCAUCCGGGACUCCGAACAACAUUCGGGUUUCUGCAUAUACAUAUCUUCAUAACCCUAGCGUCACCGAACCUUAAGUGUGUAGACCCUACGGGUUCGGGAGACAAGCAGACAUGACCGAGACGACUCUCCGGUCAAUAACCAACAGCGGGAUCUGGAUACCCAUGUUGGCUCCCACAUGCUCCACGAUGAUCUCAUCGGAUGAACCACGAUGUCGAGGAUUUAAUCAAUCCCGUACGCUAUUCCCUUUGUCUAUCGAUAUGUUACUUGCCCGAGAUUUCAUCGUCGGUAUCCCAAUACCUCGUUCAAUCUCGUUACCGGCAAGUCACUUUACUUGUACCGUAAUGCAUGAUCCCGUGACCAGACACUUGGUCACUCUGAGCUCAUUAUGAUGAUGCAUUACCGAGUGGGCCCAGUGAUACCUCUCCGUCAUACGGAGUGACAAAUCCCAGUCUUGAUCCAUGUCACCCAACAGACACUUUCGGAGAUACCCGUAGUCUACCUUUAUAGUCACCCAGUUACGUUGUGACGUUUGGCAUACCCAAAGCACUCCUACGGUAUCCGGGAGUCACACGAUCUCAUGGUCAAAGGAAUAGAUACUUGACAUUAGAAAACUCUAGCAAACGAACUAUACGAUCUUGUGCUAUGUUUAGGAUUGGGUCUUGUCCAUCACAUCAUUCUCCCAAUGAUGUGAUCUCGUUAUCAAUGACAUCCAGUGUCCAUAGUCAGGAAACCAUGACUAUCUGUUGAUCAACGAGCUAGUCAACUAGAGGCUCACUAGGGACAUGUUGGUGUCUGUUAUUCACACAUGUAUUACGAUUUCCGGAUAACACAAUUAUAGCAUGAAUAAAUACAAUUAUCAUGAACAAGGAAAUAUAAUAAUAAUGCUUUUAUUAUUGCCUCUAGGGCAUAUUUCCAACAGUCUCCCACUUGCACUAGAGUCAAUAAUCUAGUUACAUUGUGAUGAAUCGAACACCCAUGGAAUUCUGGUGUUGAUCAUGUUUUGCUCUAGGGAGAGGUUUAGUCAACGGAUCUGCUAUAUUCAGGUCCGUAUGUACUUUACAAAUCUCUAUGUCUCCAUCUUGAACAUUCUCACGAAUGGAGUUGAAGCGACGCUUGAUGUGCCUUGUCUUCUUGUGAAACCUGGGCUCCUUGGCAAGUGCAAUAGCUCCAGUGUUGUCACAGAAGAGCUUGAUCGGCCCCGACGCAUUGGGUAUGACUCCUAGGUCGGUGAUGAACUCCUUCACCCAUAUUGCUUCAUGUGCUGCCUCAGAGGCUGCCAUGUACUCCGCUUCACAUGUAGAUCCCGCCACGACGCUUUGCUUACAACUGCACCAGCUUACUGCCCCACCAUUCAAAAUAUACACGUAUCCGGUUUGUGACUUAGAGUCAUCCAGAUCUGUGUCGAAGCUAGCGUCGACGUAACCCUUUACGACGAGCUCUUCGUCACCUCCAUAAACGAGAAACAUUUCUUUAGUCCUUUUCAGGUACUUCAGGAUAUUCUUGACCGAUGUCCAGUGUUCCUUGCUGGGAUUACUUUGGUACCUUCCUACCAAACUGACGGCAAGGUUAACAUCAGGUCUGGUACACAGCAUGGCAUACAUAAUAGAACCUAUGGCUGAGGCAUAGGGGAUGACGCUCAUCUCUUCUAUAUCUUCUGCCGUGGUCGGACAUUGAGCUGAGCUCAAUUUCAUACCUUGUAACACAGGUAAGAACCCCUUCUUGGAUUGAUCCAUAUUGAACUUCUUCAAUAUCUUAUCAAGGUAUGUGCUUUGUGAAAGACCUAUGAGGCGUCUCGAUCUAUCUCUAUAGAUUUUGAUGCCUAAUAUAUAAGCAGCUUCUCCAAGGUCCUUCAUUGAAAAACUUUUAUUCAAGUAGGCCUUGAUGCUGUCCAAGAGUUCUAUAUCAUUUCCCAUCAAAAGUAUGUCAUCUACAUAUAAUAUGAGAAAUGCUACAGAGCUCCCACUCACUUUCUUGUAAACGCAGGCUUCUCCAUAAGUCUGUGUAAACCCAAACGCUUUGAUCAUCUCAUCAAAGCGAAUGUUCCAACUCCGAGAUGCUUGCACCAGCCCAUAAAUCGAGCGUUGGAGCUUGCACACUUUGUCAGCAUUCUUAGGAUCGACAAAACCUUCCGGUUGCAUCAUAUACAAUUCUUCCUUAAGGAAACCAUUAAGGAAUGCCGUUUUGACGUCCAUUUGCCAUAUUUCGUAAUCAUAGAAUGCGGCAAUUGCUAACAUGAUUCGGACGGACUUCAGCUUCGCUACCGGUGAGAAAGUCUCAUCGUAGUCAACCCCUUGAACUUGUCGAUAACCCUUAGCGACAAGCCGAGCUUUAUAGAUGGUCACAUUACCAUCCGCGUCUGUCUUCCUCUUAAAGAUCCAUUUAUUUUCUAUGGCUCGCCGCUCAACGGGCAAGUCAGUCAAAGUCCAUACUUUGUUUUCAUACAUGGAUCCUAUCUCGGAUUUCAUGGCUUCUAGCCAUUUGUCGGAAUCCGGGCCCGCCAUCGCUUCUUCAUAGUUCGAAGGUUCACCGUUGUCUAACAGCAUGAUUUCCAAGACAGGGUUGCCGUACCACUCUGGUGCGGAACGUGUCCUUGUGGACCUUCGAAUUUCAGUAGGGGCUUGAUCAGAAGUAUCUUAAUCAUUGUCAUUAACUUCCUCUCUAGUCGGUGCAGGCACCUCAGGAACAUUUUCUUGAGUUGCGCCAUUUUCCGGUUCAAGAGGUAAUACUUCAUCAAGCUCUACUUUCCUCCCACUUACUUCUUUCGAGAGAAACUCUUUCUCCAGAAAGGACCCAUUCUUGGCAACAAAGAUCUUGCCUUCGGAUCUGAGGUAGAAGGUGUACCCAAUAGUUUCUUUUGGGUAUCCUAUGAAGACGCAUUUUUCCGACUUGGGUUCGAGCUUUUCAGGUUGAAGUUUCUUGACAUAAGCAUCGCAUCCCCAAACUUUUAGAAACGACAGCUUAGGUUUCUUCCCAAACCAUAAUUCAUACGGUGUCGUCUCAACGGAUUUCGACGGAGCCCUAUUUAAAGUGAAUGCGGCAGUCUCUAAAGCAUAGCCCCAAAAGGAUAGCGGUAAAUCGGUAAGAGACAUCAUAGAUCGCACCAUAUCUAAUAGAGUGCGAUUACGACGUUCGGACACACCAUUACGCUGAGGUGUUCCAGGUGGCGUGAGUUGUUAAACUAUUCCACAUUUUCUUAAGUGUGUGCCAAACUCGUGACUCAAGUAUUCUCCUCCACGAUCUGAUCGUAGAAACUUGAUUUUCCUGUCACGUUGAUUUUCAACCUCACUCUUAAAUUCCUUGAACUUUUCAAAGGUUUCAGACUUGUGUUUCAUUAAGUAGAUAUACCCAUACCUACUUAAAUCAUCAGUGAGGGUGAGAACAUAACGAUAGCCACCGCGAGCCUCAACACUCAUUGGACCGCACACAUCAGUAUGUAUGAUUUCCAAUAAGUCGGUUGCUCGCUCCAUUGUUCCUGAGAACGGAGUCUUGGUCAUUUUACCCAUAAGGCAUGGUUCGCAUGUGUCAAAUGAUUCAUAAUCAAGAGACUCUAAAAGUCCAUCAGCAUGGAGCUUCUUCAUGCGUUUGACACCUAUGUGACCAAGGCGGCAGUGCCACAGGUAUGUGGGACUAUCAUUAUCAACCUUACUUCUUUUGGUACUCACAUUAUGAACAUGUGUAGCAUCACGUUCGAGAUUCAUAAAGAAUAAACCAUUCACCAUAGGAGCAUGACCAUAAAACAUAUCUCUCAUAAAAAUGGAACAACCAUUAUUCUUAGAUUUAAAAGAGUAGCCAUCUCGAAUUAAACGAGAUCCCGAUACAAUGUUCAUGCUCAAAGCUGGCACUAAAUAACAAUUAUUAAGGUUUAAAACUAAUCCCGAAGGGAGAUGCAGAGGUAGCGUGCCGACGGCGACCACAUUGACCUUGGAACCAUUCCCGACGCGCAUCGUCACCUCGUCCUUUGCCAGUUUCCGCUUAUUCCGCAGCCCCUGCUUUGAGUUACAAAUGUGAGCAACUGCACCGGUAUCAAAUACCCAGGAGCUACUACGGGCACUAGUAAGGUACACAUCAAUUACAUGUAUAUCACAUAUACCUUUUGUUUUGCCGGCCUUCUUAUCCGCUAAGUACUUAGGGCAGUUCCGCUUCCAGUGACCGCUUCCCUUGCAAUAAAAGCACUCAGUCUCGGGCUUGGGUCCAUUCUUUGGCUUCUUCCCGGCAGCUUGCUUGCCGGGCGCGGCAACCUCCUUGUCGUCCUUCUUGAAGUUCUUUUUACCCUUGCCUUUCUUGAACUUAGUGGUUUUAUUGACCAUCAACACUUGAUGUUCCUUCCUGACUUCUACCUCUGCUGAUUUCAGCAUAGCAAAUACUUCAGGAAUGGUCUUUUCCAUCCCCUGCAUAUUGAAGUUCAUCACAAAGCUCUUGUAGCUUGGUGGAAGCGACCGGAGGAUUCUGUCAAUGACCGCAUCAUCUGGGAGAUUAACUCCCAGCUGAGUCAAGCGGUUAUGCAACCCAGACAUAGUGAGUAUGUGCUCACUGACAGAACUGUUUUCCUCCAUCUUACAGCUAAAGAAUUUGUCGGAAACUUCAUAUCUCUCGACCCGGGCAUGAGCUUGGAAAACCAUUUUCAGCUCUUCGAACAUCUCAUAUGCUCCAUGUCUCUCAAAACGCUUUUGGAGCCCCGGCUCUAGGCUGUAAAGCAUGCCGCACUGAACGAGGGAGUAGUCAUCGGAACGUGCCUGCCAAGCGUUCAUAACAUCUUGUUCUGUAGGGAGAACGGGUGCGUCACCAAGCGGUGCUUGUAGGACAUAAUCUUUCUUGGCAGCUAUGAGGAUGAUCCUCGGGUUCCGGACCCAGUCCGUAUAGUUGCUGCCAUCGUCUUUCAGCUUGGUUUUCUCUAGGAACGCGUUGAAGUUGAGGACUACGUUGGACAUUUAAUCUACAAGACAUAUUGUAAAAUAUUUAGACUAAGUUCAUGAUAAUUAAGUUCAACUAAUCAAAUUAUUAAUGAACUCCCACUUAGAUUAGACAUCCCUCCAGUCAUCUAAGUAUUACAUGAUCCGAGUUUAACUAGACCGUGUCCGAUCAUCACGUGAGACGGACUAGUCAACGUCGGUGAACAUCUUCAUGUUGAUCGUAUCUUCUAUACGACUCAUGAUCGACCUUUCGGUCUUCUGUGUUCCGAGGCCAUGUCUGUACAUGCUAGGCUCGUCAAGUUAACCUAAGUGUUUGCAUGUGUAAAUCUGUCUUACACCCAUUGUAUGUGAACGUCUGAAUAAAACACCCGAUCAUCACAUGGUGUUUUGAAACAGCGAACUGUCGCAACGGUGCACAGUUAGGGGGAACACUUCUUGAAUUUAUUGUGAGGGAUCAUCUUAUUUACUACCGUCGUUCUAAGUAAACAAGAUGCAAAACAUGAUAAACAUCACAUGCAAUCAAAUAAUAAACGUGACAUGAUAUGGCCAAUAUCACAUAGCUCCUUUGAUCUCCAUCUUGGGGCUCCAUGAUCAUCUUGUCACCGGCUUGACACCAUGAUCUCCAUCAUCAUGAUCUCCAUCAUCGUGUCUCCAUGAAGUUGCUCGCCAACUAUUACUUCUACUACUAUGGCUAACGCGUUUAGCAAUAAAGUAAAGUAAUUUACAUGGCGUUUCUCGAUGACACGCAUGUCAUAAAAAGAAUAAAGACAACUCCUAUGGCUCCUGCCGGUUGUCAUACUCAUCGACAUGCAAGUCGUGAAUCCUAUUACAAUAGCAUGAACAUCUCAUACAUCACAUAUAGAUCAUUCAUCAUUCAUAACAACUUUGGCCAUAUCAUAUCACAAACCACUUGCUGCAAAAACAAGUUAGACGUCCUCUAAUUGUUGUUGCAAGUUUUACGUGGCUGAAUUAGGGUUCUAGCAAGAACGUUUUCUUACCUACGUUAAAGCCACAACGUGAUUUGUCAACUUCUAUUUACCCUUCAUAAGGACCCUGUUCAUCGAUUCCGCUCCAACUAAAGUGAGAGAGACAGACACCCGCCAGCCACCUUAUGCAACUAGUGCAUGUUAGUCGGUGGAACCGGUCUCACGUAAGCGUACGUGUAAGGUUGGUCCGGGCCGCUUCAUCCCACAAUACCGCUGAAGCAAGAAAGGACUAGUAACGGCAAGAAAGUUGACAAAUCUACGCCCACAACAAAUUGUGUUCUACUCGCGCAAGAAGAACUACGCAUAGACCUAGCUCUGAUACCACUGUUGGAGAACGUUGCAGAAAACAAACAUUUUCCUACUCGUUUCACCAAGAUCAUCUAGGAGUUCAUCUAGAAAUGAGUGAUUAGAUGCAUCUACAUACCUUUGUAGAUCGCGCACGGAAGCGUUCAAAGAACGGUGAUGAUGUAGUCGUACUCGACGUGAUCCAAAUCACCGAUGACCAGCGCAGAACGGACGGCACCUCCGCGUUCAACACACGUACGGGACGGGAGACGUCUCCUCCUUCUUGAUCCAGCAAGGGGGAAGGAGAGGUUGAUGAAGAUCCAGCAGCACGACGGCAUGGUGGUGGAUGGAGGGCGUCACAGCAGCAGGGCUUCGCCGAGACUACGAGGGAGAGACGUAACGGGGGGAGAUGGAGGCGCCAGGGGCUGGUCUGAAAUCCCUCCUCUCCCCCCACUAUAUAUACGGGUGCCAGGGGGGCGCCGGCCCUAGUAGAUGAGAUCUACUAGGGGGGGGGGGGGCGGCCAAGGGGAGGUUUCCCUCCCCCAAGGCACCUAGGGGUGCCUUCCACCACUAGGACUCCUCCUUGGUGGAAACCCUAGGCGCAUGGGCCUAUAGGGGCUGGUGCCCUUGGCACAUCUAGGCCAAGGCGCACCCCCUACAGCCCAUGUGGCCCCCCGGGACAGGUGGCCCCACCCGGUGGACCCCCGGGACCCUUCCGGUGGUCCCGGUACAAUACCGAUAACCCCGAAACUUGUCCCGAUGCCCGAAAUAACACUUCUUAUAUAUAAUUCUUUACCUCCGGACCAUUUCGAAACUCCCCGUGACGUCCGGAAUCUCAUCCGGGACUCCGAUCAACAUUCGGGUUUCUGCAUAUACAUAUCUUCAUAACCCUAGCGUCACCGAACCUUAAGUGUGUAGACCCUACGGGUUCGGGAGACAAGCAGACAUGACCGAGACGACUCUCCGGUCAAUAACCAACAGCGGGAUCUGGAUACCCAUGUUGGCUCCCACAUGCUCCACGAUGAUCUCAUCGGAUGAACCACGAUGUCGAGGAUUCAAUCAAUCCCGUACGCUAUUCCCUUUGUCUAUCGAUAUGUUACUUGCCCGAGAUUCGAUCGUCGGUAUCCCAAUACCUCGUUCAAUCUCGUUACCGGCAAGUCACUUUACUCGUACCGUAAUGCAUGAUCCAGUGACCAGACACUUGGUCACUCUGAGCUCAUUAUGAUGAUGCAUUACCGAGUGGGCCCAGUGAUACCUCUCCGUCAUACGGAGUGACAAAUCCCAGUCUUGAUCCAUGUCACCCAACAGACACUUUCGGAGAUACCCGUAGUCUACCUUUAUAGUCACCUAGUUACGUUGUGACGUUUGGCAUACCCAAAGCACUCCUACGGUAUCCGGGAGUUACACGAUCUCAUGGUCUAAGGAAAAGAUACUUUGACAUUGGAAAACUCUAGCAAACGAACUAUACGAUCUUGUGCUAUGUUUAGGAUUGGGUCUUGCCCAUCACAUCAUUCUCCCAAUGAUGUGAUCUCGUUAUCAAUGACAUCCAGUGUCCAUAGUCAGGAAACCAUGACUAUCUGUUGAUCAACGAGCUAGUCAACUAGAGGCUCACUAGGGACAUGUUGGUGUCUGUUAUUCACACAUGUAUUACGAUUUCCGGAUAACACAAUUAUAGCAUGAAUAAAGACAAUUAUCAUGAACAAGGAAAUAUAAUAAUAAUGCUUUUAUUAUUGCCUCUAGGGCAUAUUUCCAACAGAACCCACCGUGCGCGUCGCCGUCGGCGUAGCCGGGCGACGAUGAGCCCCACGGAGAUCCGGCGCCUUGCUACCCCCAGGGCGUGUACUGGGCGUGGCUGACGACGGGUGGAUUCAUCCCCGCCUGGUCGGCCGACGAGGAAGCCGCCGCGCGCGCCGCGUUGUCGCGGGCCUUCUUGGCUAUGGCCCUGUUCCGCCUGUCGGCGGUGACUGCUUCUCGCCGCUGCACUUCCACGCUCCACUCGGCGUUUGACAUGCCCGGUGGCUUCGACGGCGGCGCUCUCGGCUUCCGCGGCUUCGGUUGGACCACGGUGCCAGUCGCGGUUGCCGCCGCGCGCGGCAUGGCGUACUUCUUCGGCGGCAUGGCGGCGACUGGAAGGCGAGUGGAGGGUGGCUUGGCGGGAGAAAGGGGGAGAAUGGCGGGAGGAGGGCGAGUGAGCGGGAGAAAAGUCUCAAGGAACGGCGGGAAUAGUCCCUCGGGUCGCCGCCAGGGCGGACCCACGCUCCUUUUUCGUUUGCGCCGACUCCCCAAGCGCCCCCCAGGGCGCCGGGUUCGGCCUGGAUCCGCCGGCGCCAGUUUCGGCCCGAGCCGGCGAAAAACGGGCUUCUGGGGGCGCGACUGGGGCCUUUUUUGGCGCCGGCGCGGCAAAAUCGCCUGGGGAGGGCCUGUUGGGGGCGCGGCUGGAGAUGCCCUUACUCCUGUCAGAGAGAAGAAAGAGAUAAGAGGAGAUUGGAUUGGAUGAAAAGUCAAAGUGGACAAAGUGCUGAAGAAAAAAAUUGCAGAGGGGUAACGUGGUUCGGUCAACACGACCUGUAGGCUGUAGCGUCCGUUUCGAGCCGCCGAGCUCCAGCUCUGCUGCGGUUGCGCUUCAAGCCGCUGCCUUCACCGUCGCCGCUGCGACCUCGCGUGGAGGUGGAGCCACCCCCGCUCGGCCUUAUUCCGAGCCGUCUUUGCCUUAAUAUUUGCGGUCUUGUUCUGAGCCGUUUUCGUUGCUACGACCCGCCACCUCUGCCACAUCCCUGAGAAGGUGGCUAAAUCGCCAUGGAGUUUACUGGAGGUGAUCCACGAACGCGAUGUACAACUCGUCUGUCGUCCGGACGAAUCAGGUGAAAGCUGUCCAAUCAAUUUUUAUUGAUACAUUUUUAUUUUCUUCGAGAACAAUUACUUUCAUUUGUGCAAUUUCUUAUGCAGAAUUCAUCAUUACAAAGGAGACCAUCAAACUAUAGCCCUUGCCUACAUCGGAUGGAUCAAUGGACGUGGUCAUUUAUAACCCGCCGAGAUUCAACAUAUUCCAGCAAUCCGUUGUUCAACUAUAUGCCGGUUCAUAUCACGGUCAAGUAUGAAGAGUCUCAAGUUAACUCCUCGUGUCGUGUUAAAACUCGGGGGCUACAAUAACAUGACUCAGCAAAUUUUGCCAGUUUCAGCAAAUUCAAGAAACCCAGGACAUUGGAGGGGAAGAUAACCCGGUCCCGGAGGCUACUGCCAUAUUGGUGAAAAAUUCAAAAGGCAGUCAAGACAAUUUCCGGUUUAAAAAGAAGAUUCCGGUUCAACGUCCGGUUCAAAAGGAAUUCAUUUCUCACAAGUUUGAGUUCUCAGAAAAAUUAAAGGUUGCCAAAGAGAAUUUGAACAGUGCGCAGUUCAAACAUGAGUAUCCUGCCUUAUUGGCUUAUCGUAUUAUUGGUCUCAUGGGGGCUUCCUGCUGACCGAGCAUAGCUGUUUCACACCCAUGCCAUCUAGUUUCCAAGCCGACUCAUUGGUCUCAUGGGGGAUUCCUGCUCACCGAGCAUAGCUGUUCACAUCCAUGAGAUCCGGUUUCCAAGCCGACUCAUUGGUCUCAUGGGGGCUUCCUGCUCACCGAGCAUAGCUGUUCACACCCAUGAGAUCCGGUUUCCAAGCUGACUUUGAGAUUGAGGGAGUCCUGGAUUAGGGGGUGUUCGGAUAGCCGGACUAUAUCUCCCGCCGGACUCCAGGACUAUGAAGAUACAAGAACGAAGACUCUGUCCCGUGUCCGGAAGGUUCUUUCCUUGGCGUAGAAGGCAAGCUAGGCAUGCGGAUAUUCAAGAUCUCCUCCCCAUGUAACUGACUCUGUGUAACCCUAACUGAUGGGGAACGUUGCAGAAAACAAAAAAUUUCCUACUCGUUUCACCAAGAUCAUCUAGGAGUUCAUCUAGCAACGAGUGAUUAGAUGCAUCUACAUACCUUUGUAGAUCGCGCACGGAAGCAUUCAAAGAACGGUGAUGAUGUAGUCGUACUCGACGUGAUCCAAAUCACCGAUGACCAGCGCCGAACGGACGGCACCUCCGCGUUCAACACACGUACGGGACGGGAGACGUCUCCUCCUUCUUGAUCCAGCAAGGGGGAAGGAGAGGUUGAUGAAGAUCCAGCAGCACGACGGCGUGGUGGUGGAUGCAGGGCGUCACAGCAGCAGGGCUUCGCCAAGACUACGAGGGAGAGACGUAACGGGGAAGAUGGAGGCGCCAGGGGCUGGUGUGAAAUCCCUCCUCUCCCCCCACUAUAUAUAGGGGUGCCAGGGGGGCGCCGGCCCUAGUAGAUGAGAUCUACUAAGGGGGGGCCGCGGCCAAGGGGAGGUUUCCCUCCCCCCCAAGGCACCUAGGGGUGCGUUCCACCACAUGGACUCUUCCAUGGUGGAAACCCUAGGCGCAUGGGCCUAUAGGGGCUGGUGCCCUUGGCCCAUCUAGGCCAAGGCGCACCCCCUACAGCCCAUGUGGCCCCCCGGGACAGGUGGCCCCACCCGGUGGACCCCCGGGACCCUUCCGGUGGUCCCGGUACAAUACCGAUAACCCCGAAACUUGUCCCGAUGCCCGAAAUAGCACUUCCUAUAUAUAAUUCUUUACCUCCGGACCAUUCCGGAACUCCUCAUGACGUCCGGGAUCUCAUCCGGGACUCCGAACAACAUUUGGGUUUCUGCAUAUACAUAUCUUCAUAACCCUAGCGUCAUCGAACCUUAAGUGUGUAGACCCUACGGGUUCGGGAGACAAGCAGACAUGACCGAGACGACUCUCCGGUCAAUAACCAACAACGGGAUCUGGAUACCCAUGUUGGCUCCCACAUGCUCCACGAUGAUCUCAUCGAAUGAACCACGAUGUCGAGGAUUCAAUCAAUCCCGUACGCUAUUCCCUUUGUCUAUCGAUAUGUUACUUGCCCGAGAUUCGAUCGUCGGUAUCCCAAUACCUCGUUCAAUCUCGUUACCGGCAAGUCACUUUACUCGUACCGUAAUGCAUGAUCCCGUGACCAGACACUUGGUCACUCUGAGCUCAUUAUGAUGAUGCAUUACCGAGUGAGCCCAGUGAUACCUCUCCGUCAUACGGAGUGACAAAUCCCAGUCUUGAUCCAUGUCACCCAACAGACACUUUCGGAGAUACCCGUAGUCUACCUUUAUAGUCUCCCAGUUACGUUGUGACGUUUGGCAUACCCAAAGCACUCCUACGGUAUCCGGGAGUUACACGAUCUCAUGGUCUAAGGAAAAGAUACUUUGACAUUGGAAAACUCUAGCAAACAAACUAUACGAUCUUGUGCUAUGUUUAGGAUUGGGUCUUGUCCAUCACAUCAUUCUCCCAAUGAUGUGAUCUCGUUAUCAAUGACAUCCAGUGUCCAUAGUCAGGAAACCAUGACUAUCUGUUGAUCAACGAGCUAGUCAACUAGAGGCUCACUAGGGACAUGUUGGUGUCUGUUAUUCACACAUGUAUUACGAUUUCCGGAUAACACAAUUAUAGCAUGAAUAAAGAAAAUUAUCAUGAACAAGGAAAUAUAAUAAUAAUGCUUUUAUUAUUGCCUCUAGGGCAUAUUUCCAACAGUCUCCCACUUGCACUAGAGUCAAUAAUCUAGUUACAUUGUGAUGAAUCGAACACCCAUGGAAUUCUGGUGUUGAUCAUGUUUUGCUCUAGGGAGAGGUUUAGUCAACGGAUCUGCUAUAUUCAGGUCCGUAUGUACUUUACAAAUCUCUAUGUCUCCAUCUUGAACAUUCUCACGAAUGGAGUUGAAGCGACGCUUGAUGUGCCUUGUCUUCUUGUGAAACCUGGGCUCCUUGGCAAGUGCAAUAGCUCCAGUGUUGUCACAGAAGAGCUUGAUCGGCCCCGACGCAUUGGGUAUGACUCCUAGGUCGGUGAUGAACUCCUUCACCCAUAUUGCUUCAUGUGCUGCCUCCGAGGCUGCCAUGUACUCCGCUUCACAUGUAGAUCCCGCCACGACGCUUUGCUUGCAACCGCACCAGCUUACUGCCCCACCAUUCAAAAUAUACACGUAUCCGGUUUGUGACUUAGAGUCAUCCAGAUCUGUGUCGAAGCUAGCGUCGACGUAACCCUUUACGACGAGCUCUUCGUCACCUCCAUAAAUGAGAAACAUUUCCUUAGUCCUUUUCAGGUACUUCAGGAUAUUCUUGACCGCUGUCCAGUGUUCCUUGCCGGGAUUACUUUGGUACCUUCCUACCAAACUGACGGCAAGGUUAACAUCAGGUCUGGUACACAGCAUGGCAUACAUAAUAGAACCUAUGGCUGAGGCAUAGGGGAUGACGCUCAUCUCUUCUAUAUCUUCUGUCGUGGUCGGACAUUGAGCCGAGCUCAAUUUCAUACCUUGUAACACAGGCAAGAACCCCUUCUUGGAUUGAUCCAUAUUGAACUUCUUCAAUAUCUUAUCAAGGUAUGUGCUUUGUGAAAGACCUAUGAGGCGUCUCGAUCUAUCUCUAUAGAUUUUGAUGCCUAAUAUAUAAGCAGCUUCUCCAAGGUCCUUCAUUGAAAAACUUUUAUUCAAGUAGGCCUUGAUGCUGUCCAAGAGUUCUAUAUCAUUUCCCAUCAAAAGUAUGUCAUCUACAUAUAAUAUGAGAAAUGCUACAGAGCUCCCACUCACUUUCUUGUAAACGCAGGCUUCUCCAUAAGUCUGUGUAAACCCAAACGCUUUGAUCAUCUCAUCAAAGCGAAUGUUCCAACUCCGAGAUGCUUGCACCAGCCCAUAAAUCGAGCGUUGGAGCUUGCACACUUUGUCAGCAUUCUCAGGAUCGACAAAACCUUCCGGCUGCAUCAUAUACAAUUCUUCCUUAAGGAAACCAUUAAGGAAUGCCGUUUUGACGUCCAUUUGCCAUAUUUCGUAAUCAUAGAAUGCGGCAAUUGCUAACAUGAUUCGGACGGACUUCAGCUUCGCUACCGGUGAGAAAGUCUCAUCGUAGUCAACCCCUUGAACUUGUCGAUAACCCUUAGCGACAAGCCGAGCUUUAUAGAUGGUCACAUUACCAUCCGCGUCUGUCUUCCUCUUAAAGAUCCAUUUAUUUUCUAUGGCUCGCCGCUCAACGGGCAAGUCAGUCAAAGUCCAUACUUUGUUUUCAUACAUGGAUCCUAUCUCUGAUUUCAUGGCUUCUAGCCAUUUGUCGGAAUCCGGGCCCGCCAUCGCUUCUUCAUAGUUCGAAGGUUCACCGUUGUCUAACAGCAUGAUUUCCAAGACAGGGUUGCCGUACCACUCUGGUGCGGAACGUGUCCUUGUGGACCUUCGAAUUUCAGUAGGGGCUUGAUCAGAAGUAUCUUGAUCAUUGUCAUUAACUUCCUCUCUAGUCGGUGCAGGCACCUCAGGAACAUUUUCUUGAGUUGCGCCAUUUUCCAGUUCAAGAGGUAAUACUUCAUCAAGCUCUACUUUCCUCCCACUUACUUCUUUCAAGAGAAACUCUUUCUCCAGAAAGGACCCAUUCUUGGCAACAAAGAUCUUGCCUUCGGAUCUGAGGUAGAAGGUGUACCCAAUAGUUUCUUUUGGGUAUCCUAUGAAGACGCAUUUUUCCGACUUGGGUUCGAGCUUUUCAGGUUGAAGUUUCUUGACAUAAGCAUCGCAUCCCCAAACUUUUAGAAAUGACAGCUUAGGUUUCUUCCCAAACCAUAAUUCAUACGGUGUCGUCUCAACGGAUUUCGACGGAGCCCUAUUCAAAGUGAAUGCGGCAGUCUCUAAAGCAUAGCCCCAAAAGGAUAGCGGUAAAUCGGUAAGAGACAUCAUAGAUCGCACCAUAUCUAAUAGAGUGCGAUUACGACGUUCGGACACACCAUUACACUGAGGUGUUCCAGGCGGCGUGAGUUGUGAAACUAUUCCACAUUUUCUUAAGUGUGUGCCAAACUCGUGACUCAAGUAUUCUCCUCCAUGAUCUGAUCGUAGAAACUUGAUUUUCCUGUCACGUUGAUUUUCAACCUCACUCUGAAAUUCCUUGAACUUUUCAAAGGUUUCAGACUUGUGUUUCAUUAAGUAGAUAUACCCAUACCUACUUAAAUCAUCAGUGAGGGUGAGAACAUAACGCUAGCCACCGCGAGCCUCAACACUCAUUGGACCGCACACAUCAGUAUGUAUGAUUUCCAAUAAGUCGGUUGCUCGCUCCAUUGUUCCUGAGAACGGAGUCUUGGUCAUUUUACCUAUAAGGCAUGGUUCGCAUGUGUCAAAUGAUUCAUAAUCAAGAGACUCUAAAAGUCCAUCAGCAUGGAGCUUCUUCAUGCGUUUGACACCUAUGUGACCAAGGCGGCAGUGCCACAGGUAUGUGGGACUAUCAUUAUCAACCUUACUUCUUUUGGUACUCACAUUAUGAACAUGUGUAGCAUCACGUUCGAGAUUCAUAAAGAAUAAACCAUUCACCAUAGGAGCAUGACCAUAAAACAUAUCUCUCAUAAAAAUGGAACAACCAUUAUUCUCAGAUUUAAAAGAGUAGCCAUCUCGAAUUAAACGAGAUCCCGAUACAAUGUUCAUGCUCAAAGCUGGCACUAAAUAACAAUUAUUAAGGUUUAAAACUAAUCCCGAAGGGAGAUGCAGAGGUAGCGUGCCGACGGCGACCACAUUGACCUUGGAACCAUUCCCGACACGCAUCGUCACCUCGUCCUUUGCCAGUUUCCGCUUAUUCCGCAGCCCCUGCUUUGAGUUACAAAUGUGAGCAACUGCACCGGUAUCAAAUACCCAGGAGCUACUACGGGCACUAGUAAGGUACACAUCAAUUACAUGUAUAUCACAUAUCUUUUGUUUUGCCGGCCUUCUUAUCCGCUAAGUACUUAGGGCAGUUCCGCUUCCAGUGACCGCUUCCCUUGCAAUAAAAGCACUCAGUCUCGGGCUUGGGUCCAUUCUUUGGCUUCUUCCCGGCAGCUUGCUUGCCGGGCGCGGCAACCUCCUUGCCGUCCUUCUUGAAGUUCUUUUUAUCCUUGCCUUUCUUGAACUUAGUGGUUUUAUUGACCAUCAACACUUGAUGUUCCUUCCUGACUUCUACCUCUGCUGAUUUCAGCAUAGCAAAUACUUCAGGAAUGGUCUUUUCCAUCCCCUGCAUAUUGAAGUUCAUCACAAAGCUCUUGUAGCUUGGUGGAAGCGACUGGAGGAUUCUGUCAAUGACCGCAUCAUCCGGGAGAUUAACUCCCAGCUGAGUCAAGCGGUUAUGCAACCCAGACAUAGUGAGUAUGUGCUCACUGACAGAACUGUUUUCCUCCAUCUUACAGCUGAAGAAUUUGUCGGAGACUUCAUAUCUCUCGACCCGGGCAUGAGCUUGGAAAACCAUUUUCAGCUCUUCGAACAUCUCAUAUUCUCCAUGUCUCUCAAAACGCUUUUGGAGCCCCGGCUCUAGGCUGUAAAGCAUGCCGCACUGAACGAGGGAGUAGUCAUCGGAACGUGCCUGCCAAGCGUUCAUAACAUCUUGUUCUGCAGGGAGAACGGGUGCGUCACCAAGCGGUGCUUGUAGGACAUAAUCUUUCUUGGCAGCUAUGAGGAUGAUCCUCGGGUUCCGGACCCAGUCCGUAUAGUUGCUGCCAUCGUCUUUCAGCUUGGUUUUCUCUAGGAACGCGUUGAAGUUGAGGACUACGUUGGACAUUUAAUCUACAAGACAUAUUGUAAAAUAUUUAGACUAAGUUCAUGAUAAUUAAGUUCAACUAAUCAAAUUAUUAAUGAACUCCCACUUAGAUUAGACAUCCCUCCAGUCAUCUAAGUAUUACAUGAUCCGAGUUUAACUAGACCGUGUCCGAUCAUCACGUGAGACGGACUAGUCAACGUCGGUGAACAUCUUCAUGUUGAUCGUAUCUUCUAUACGACUCAUGAUCGACCUUUCGGUCUUCUGUGUUCCGAGGCCAUGUCUGUACAUGCUAGGCUCGUCAAGUUAACCUAAGUGUUUGCAUGUGUAAAUCUGUCUUACACCCGUUGUAUGUGAACGUCUGAAUAAAACACCCGAUCAUCACGUGGUGUUUUGAAACAGCGAACUGUCGCAACGGUGCACAGUUAGGGGGAACACUUCUUGAAUUUAUUGUGAGGGAUCAUCUUAUUUACUACCGUCGUUCUAAGUAAACAAGAUGCAAAACAUGAUAAACAUCACAUGCAAUCAAAUAAUAAACGUGACAUGAUAUGGCCAAUAUCACAUAGCUCCUUUGAUCUCCAUCUUGGGGCUCCAUGAUCAUCUUGUCACCGGCUUGACACCAUGAUCUCCAUCAUCAUGAUCUCCAUCAUCGUGUCUCCAUGAAGUUGCUCGCCAACUAUUACUUCUACUACUAUGGCUAACGCGUUUAGCAAUAAAGUAAAGUAAUUUACAUGGCGUUUCUCGAUGACACGCAGGUCAUAAAAAGAAUAAAGACAACUCCUAUGGCUCCUGCCGGUUGUCAUACUCAUCGACAUGCAAGUCGUGAAUCCUAUUACAAUAGCAUGAACAUCUCAUACAUAACAUAUAGAUCAUUCAUCAUUCAUCACAACUUUGGCCAUAUCAUAUCACAAACCACUUGCUGCAAAAACAAGUUAGACGUCCUCUAAUUGUUGUUGCAAGUUUUACGUGGCUGAAUUAGGGUUCUAGCAAGAACGUUUUCUUACCUACGUUAAAGCCACAACGUGAUUUGUCAACUUCUAUUUACCCUUCAUAAGGACCCUGUUCAUCGAUUCCGCUCCAACUAAAGUGAGAGAGACAGACACCCGCCAGCCACCUUAUGCAACUAGUGCAUGUUAGUCGGUGGAACCGGUCUCACGUAAGCGUACGUGUAAGGUUGGUCCGGGCCGCUUCAUCCCACAAUACCGCUGAAGCAAGAAAGGACUAGUAACGGCAAGAAAGUUGACAAAUCUACGCCCACAACAAAUUGUGUUCUACUCGCGCAAGAAGAACUACGCAUAGACCUAGCUCUGAUACCACUGAUGGGGAACGUUGCAGAAAACAAAAAAUUUCCUACUCGUUUCACCAAGAUCAUCUAGGUGUUCAUCUAGCAACGAGUGAUUAGAUGCAUCUACAUACCUUUGUAGAUCGCGCACGGAAGCGUUCAAAGAACGGUGAUGAUGUAGUCGUACUCGACGUGAUCCAAAUCACCGAUGACCAGCGCCGAACGGACGGCACCUCCGCGUUCAACACACGUACGGGACGGGAGACGUCUCCUCCUUCUUGAUCCAGCAAGGGGGAAGGAGAGGUUGAUGAAGAUCCAGCAGCACGACGGCGUGGUGGUGGAUGCAGGGCGUCACAGCAGCAGGGCUUCGCCGAGACUACGAGGGAGAGACGUAACGGGGAAGAUGGAGGCGCCAGGGGCUGGUGUGAAAUCCCUCCUCUCCCCCCACUAUAUAUAGGGGUGCCAGGGGGGGCGCCAGCCCUAGUAGAUGAGAUCUACUAAGGGGGGGCCGCGGCCAAGGGGAGGUUUCCCUCCCCCCCCCAAGGCACCUAGGGGUGCCUUCCACCACAUGGACUCUUCCAUGGUGGAAACCCUAGGUGCAUGGGCCUAUAGGGGCUGGUGCCCUUGGCCCAUCUAGGCCAAGGCGCACCCCCUACAGCCCAUGUGGCCCCCCGGGACAGGUGGCCCCACCCGGUGGACCCCCGGGACCCUUCCGGUGGUCCCGGUACAAUACCGAUAACCCCGAAACUUGUCCUGAUGCCCGAAAUAGCACUUCCUAUAUAUAAUUCUUUACCUCCGGACCAUUCCGGAACUCCUCGUGACGUACGGGAUCUCAUCCGGGACUCCGAACAACAUUCGGGUUUCUGCAUAUACAUAUCUUCAUAACCCUAGCGUCACCGAACCUUAAGUGUGUAGACCCUACGGGUUCGGGAGACAAGCAAACAUGACCGAGACGACUCUCCGGUCAAUAACCAACAGCGGGAUCUGGAUACCCAUGUUGGCUCCCACAUGCUCCACGAUGAUCUCAUCGGAUGAACCACGAUGUCGAGGAUUCAAUCAAUCCCGUACGCUAUUCCCUUUGUCUAUCGAUAUGUUACUUGCCCGAGAUUCGAUCGUCGGUAUCCCAAUACCUCGUUCAAUCUCGUUACCGGCAAGUCACUUUACUCGUACCGUAAUGCAUGAUCCCGUGACCAGACACUUGGUCACUCUGAGCUCAUUAUGAUGAUGCAUUACCGAGUGGGCCCAGUGAUACCUCUCCGUCAUACGGAGUGACAAAUCCCAGUCUUGAUCCAUGUCACCCAACAGACACUUUCGGAGAUACCCGUAGUCUACCUUUAUAGUCACCCAGUUACGUUGUGACGUUUGGCAUACCCAAAGCACUCCUACGGUAUCCGGGAGUUACACGAUCUCAUGGUCUAAGGAAAAGAUACUUUGACAUUGGAAAACUCUAGCAAACGAACUAAAUGAUCUUGUGCUAUGUUUAGGAUUGGGUCUUGUCCAUCACAUCAUUCUCCCAAUGAUGUGAUCUCGUUAUCAAUGACAUCCAGUGUCCAUAGUCAGGAAACCAUGACUAUCUGUUGAUCAACGAGCUAGUCAACUAGAGGCUCACUAGGGACAUGUUGGUGUCUGUUAUUCACACAUGUAUUACGAUUUCCGGAUAACACAAUUAUAGCAUGAAUAAAGACAAUUAUCAUGAACAAGGAAAUAUAAUAAUAAUGCUUUUAUUAUUGCCUCUAGGGCAUAUUUCCAACACUAACCCUGUCCGGUGUCUAUAUAAACCGGAGGGUUUUAGUCCGUAGGACAACUUCAUCAUACAACAAUCAUACCAUAGGCUAGCUUCUAGGGUUUAGCCUCCUUGAUCUCGUGGUAGAUCUACUCUUGUACUACCCUUAUCAUCAAUAUUAAUCAAGGAGGAGUAGGGUUUUACCUCCAUCGAGAGGGCCCGAACCUGGGUAAAACAAAGUGUCCCCUGUCUCCUGUUACCAUCCAACCUUGACGCACAGUUCGGGACCCCCUACCCGAGAUCCGCCGGUUUUGACACCGACAUUGGUGCUUUCAUUAAUAGUUCCUCUGUGUCGUCGCCUUUAGGUUCGAUGGCUCCUUUAAUCAUCAACAACGAUAAGGUCCAGGGUGAGACUUUUCUCCCCGGACAGAUCUUCGCCUUCGGCGGCUUCGCUCUGCGAGCCAAUUCGCUUGGCCAUCUGGAGCAGAUCAAAAGCUACGCCCCUGGCCAUCAAGUCAGGUUUGGAAGCUUAAACUACACGGCGGAUAUCCGCGGAGACUUGAUCUUCGACGGAUUCGAGCCACAGCCAAGCGUGCCGCACUGUCAAAAGGAGCACGAUAUAGCUCUGCUCCCGAACAGUGUCCUGGAGGCCGCACACGCUCCGGCCCCGACCAUCGAUUCGGAGUCCGCUGCGAUCGUUGAGGAAGAACGGUUGGACGUCACCUCAGGGGCUGCGACGUUAAAAGCGGUUGAGCCGAACGCCGACCCCGCACUCCGUGCUGCCUAUUACUCCGAGGAGCCGGAUUCUUCUCCGGACUCCGGGCCCUUUACGCCCCUGCCGAUCGAAUCCGAUUGGGCGCCCGUAAUGGAGUUCACCACCGCGGAUAUCUUUCAGUGUUCACCUCUUGGUGACAUCCUGAAUUCUCUCAAGUCUCUCUCUUUAUCAGGAGAGCCCAUGCCGGAUUAUGGUCUGCGAGGUUGGGAUUCGGACGAUGAAGAAAUUCAAAGCCCACCCACCACCCACUUAAUAGCCACUGUCGACGAUUUAACCGACAUGGUUGACUAUGGCUCCAAAGACUUCGAUGACUUGGACGACGAAGGAGGAGACGAACAACAACCAGCACCUACAGGGCGCUGGACCGCCACCUCGUCAUAUGACAUAUACAUGGUGGACGCUCCAAAAGAUGGAGAUGGCGAUAGAACAGCGGAGGACGGCUCAUCAAAAAAGCAUCCCAAGCGCCGCCGUCAGCGGCACCGCUCCAAAUCCCGCCAAAGCAAGAACGGUGAUUCUGGCACGGGAGACAAUGCUACCCCGGAUACUGCCGAAGAACACCAACCCCAGCAAGACUCGGCACGGGAAGACGGUGAAGCCAGCCUUCACAAUAAUGCAGCAGAAAGAGAGGUUGAGGAUGACAACUACAUGCCUCCCUCCGAAGACGAGGCAAGCCUCGAGGACGACGAAUUUGUCGUACCACCAGACCCCGCCGAACAAGAGCGUUUUCAGCGCAGGCUUAUUGCCACGGCCAACAGCCUAAAGAAAAAGCAGCAACAGCUUAGAGCUGAUCAAGAUUUGCUGGCGGACAGAUGGACAGACGUCCUUGCGGCCGAGGAGUUCGGACUCGGGCGCCACUCCAAAACUUACCCUAAACGCAGGCUUCUUCCCCAAUCAGAGGACGAAGCAAAUGACAUGGCAGAUCGGCCACCUCGCGGCCGUGACAGAGAGGCCCGCCGCACCUUCAGGCCAACCGUACUACGGGGCUGUUCGGCCAGGGCACAAGAAAACGAGCCAGACCUGCGACAAGUAUUGGAGGACAAAGCAAGGCAGACAAGAUCGAUAUACGGAUCACGCGGACGCCCGACACGUAACAAUUUUCAGUCCGGACACAACAGGUCCGGCCGGGCCGAACACAACAUACACAGCUCUGCCGAGCUACGGCGCAACAUAGCCCAAUACAGGGGCGCCGCACACCCGCUAUGCUUCACAGACGAAGUAAUGGAUCAUCAAAUCCCAGAGGAUUUUAAACCCGUCAAUAUCGAGUCGUACGAUGGUACGACAGACCCAACAGUUUGGAUCGAGGAUUAUCUCCUCCAUAUCCACAUGGCACGCGACGACGACCUGCACGCCAUCAAAUACCUCCCACUCAAGCUUAAGGGACCAGCUCGGCAUUGGCUUAACAGCCUGCCAGUAAAUUCAAUCGGUUCUUGGGAGGACCUGGAGGCCGCAUUCCUUGACAACUUUCAGGGCACUUAUGUGCGACCACCGGACGCUGAUGAUCUAAGCCACAUAAUCCAGCAGCCAGACGAAUCGGCCAGACAAUUCUGGACACGGUUCCUCACAAAGAAAAAUCAGAUAGUCGACUGUCCGGACGCAGAGGCCCUAGCGGCCUUCAAGCAUAAUAUCCGCGACGAAUGGCUUGCCCGGCACCUGGGACAGGAAAAGCCGAAGUCCAUGGCAGCCCUAACGACGCUCAUGACCCGCUUUUGCGCGGGAGAAGACAGCUGGCUAUCUCGUAGUAACAACUUAUCGAAGAAGUCCCGAAAUUCGGACACCAAGGACAAAAGUGGCAGGUCACGUAGAAACAAUCACAAACGGCCGCUUAUGCGGCGAUAGUAAUGAGGAUACGGCAGUAAAUGCCGGAUUCAGAGGCCAUAAAUCCGGUCAACGGAAACAACCAUCUAAAAAAUAACCAGGGCCCGUCCAGUUUGGACCGAAUACUCGAUCGCCUGUGCCAAAUUCACGGCACCCCCGAAGUGCCAGCUAACCACACUAACAGAGACUGUUGGGUGUUUAGGCAGGCAGGCAAGUCAAUAGCCGAACAUAAAAACAAGGGGCUAGACAGCGACGACGAGCGGGAGCCCAGGCCGCCGAACAACAAAGGACAGAAGGGGUUUCCCCCACAAGUGCGGAUGGUGAACAUGAUAUAUGCAACCCACAUUCCCAAGAGGGAAAGGAAGCGUGCGCUACGGGACGUAUACGCGAUGGAGCCAGUCGCCCCAAAGUUCAACCCUUGGUCUUCUUGCCCGAUCACUUUCGAUCGAAGGGACCAUCCCACUAGCAUCCGUCACGGCGGUUUUGCCGCAUUGGUCCUUGAUCCAAUCGUUGACGGCUUUCAUCUUACAAGAGUCCUAAUGGACGGCGGCAGCAGCCUGAACCUGCUUUACCAGGAUACAGUGCGGAAAAUGGGCAUAGAUCCAUCAAGGAUCAAGCCCACAAGGACGACCUUUAAAGGCGUUAUCCCAGGUGUGGAGGCCAGUUGCACAGGCUCGAUAACACUUGAUGUGGUCUUCGGAUCUCCGAAUAAUUUCCGAAGCAAAGAGUUAAUCUUCGAUAUAGUCCCGUUCCGCAGUGGUUAUCACGCCCUACUCGGACGAACUGCAUUCGCUAAAUUCAAUGCGGUUCCGCACUACGCAUACCUCAAGCUCAAGAUGCCAGGCCCUCGAGGAGUAAUCACGGUCAGCGGAAACACCGAACGCUCCAUAACUACGGAGCAACACACGGCGGCACUCGCAUUGGAAGUUCAAAGUAGCCUUUCAAGGCAGCUCUCCAGUCCGGCCAUUAAAACGCCGGACAGUGCGAAACGCGCCCGGAGUAACCUACAACAAGACCACUUGGCAAGAUCGGAGCAGGCGUAGCAAUGCGGCCCCAACCCCAUCCAUCGCAGCAUCGCGGAAUCAGUACCUCGAGUACACAGCUAUGCCCUUAAAAUUCCAUGGGCACGGGGGAAGGGGGCACUUUAGCGGCAUGCCUACAAUACGGCGUUAAUCGUACCAGGGGCUGCCGGACUUUUUCUUUUAUUUCUUAUUUUCAGGACUCCAUAUUUCGGGUAACCUGUUCGGCCCUGCUGCCGCACAAGACGAUACAAGGCCCAGGAGAGCAGACAAAGCUACGCCGCACUACGGAACUUUCAGGUGGUCUCUAUGUUGAGCGAUAUAUCUGUUUCCAAAUUUCAGCGGCCUACGCCUGGUCUGGACAUGUUAAAUAGUCUAGCAUUUCUCGCUUAUUGCACUUCUUGUACCGUCAGGCUUUAAAUAGCUUCUUUAUAAACAAUGCAUAGAUUUGUGUCUAUUUUUCUGCAUUACAUUUUUGAAUAUAUAUAUGUUUAUCUUAUAACAUGAUCGCACCUGUACACCAUGGUACGGCAAACCACGCCAGGGGCUUCAUUUCCCUUCUAUCUGGACGUGAGAAGUCCGCACACCUUCCUCAGUGCGGCACCCCGAACUUAUAGCACUAUAUGCAUCGGCUCCGAGUCAUGAUUUUGGUCAUAUGUUGGGUUUGCCCGGCUCCUGUGUUCGGCCACCUUACGUUCCGUUGUCGGCUAAGGUAGCUCCAGGAGAACCACUGCGAUUGCACCCCGGUUCGGCCGGGCGAGUGCCUCAGCGGAGAAAGCUAAAACAGACUGCCAUGAUAGGGCGUGAGACCGGUCGCUGUUCGAGAGGUUUUUUCGAGUCCUUAAAGGCUUAUGCCGCUUCGAGCGGAGAGCUUGCUAAACACCAGCUAAAGGGCGUGGAUAGCGCCCCGAAUUCGGCCUUCCGAACUAGGGGCUUCGCCGAAAUUUAAAAUUAUAAAGUUCUAUGGCUAAGUGAGAGUGUUCAAGCAUUAUAGUCCGGUAUCCUGGUUCGUUGUGCUGAAGGCCUCCCUCGAUGGACCCAAUUAUGGGAAAAAGAGCCCUCAGGUUUAUCCCGAACACCCCAGCACUAGUUGCAUGGGGGCUGAAGUCGACGACUCGCCAUCUCUCAGUUAUUGAUAAACGGCCGCACAGAAAACAAUAUUUUAAAUUCAAAGCAUUGCUUAAAGCGCAUAUGAACAAGUUUUCAGCGCACAGGAUACAAAUGACCGAGUUUACUCCAAUAUUACAUCUCUACUACAUUCAUCCGCGACAAGUCGAGCUCCAGCAAGAACUUCUUUAUAAUAGUUCUCGGGCUUGCGAUGCUCCUUCCCCACCGGCGGCCCGUCCUUCACCAGCUUCUCGCCGUUCAGCUUGCCCGAGUGCACUCUCACACGUGCAAGGGCCCUCCGGGCACCCUCGAUGCAGGCAGAGCGCUUGAUGAUUUCAAGUCGUGGACAAGCCUCCACCAGCCGCCGCACAAGCCCGAAGUAGCUCCCAGGCAGGGCCUCCCCAGGCCACAGCCGAACUAUAAGACCAUUCAUGGCCUGUUCAGCCGCCUUGUGUAGCUCGACCAGCUGCUUCAGCUGGUCACUCAAGGGCACAGGGUGUCCGGCCUCAGAGUACUGAGACCAGAACACACUCUCCGCCGAGCUGCUCUCUCCGGCUCGAUAGAAAGCGGCGGCAUCGGACGCGCUGCGGGGAAGAUCGACAAAAGCCCCUGGAGAACUCCGGAUCCGGGUAAGCAACAAGUAUUUUAUUUUUAUAUUCUUACUUUGCAUUGAUAAUGCCUUACCCGCUGCUAUCUUCUUUAACUCCUCCAAUUCUUGGAGAGCCUUCUGGGCUUCGGCCUUAGCAUUCUUGGCGGCCUCAAUGGCAGAGGUGAGUUCGGUGGCUUGCGUUUUCACGUCAAGCUCCAGAGCCUCAUGUUUCUUCAUGAGAUCCUGCAGCUUCUGCUGCACCUCGCUGCAUUCGACCCCAAGCCUUUCUCGCUCGGUGCGCUCCUCGGCCGUUUUCUUUUCGGCCUCGGUGAGCGCCUGCCUCAGGUUGGCCACCUCCGUUGCGGCCCCUGCAUUAGGCAGCAUAUUCCUGUUAUUUUUUCGCAAUCAAGCCUCUCCAUGGGCACAUUUUAUUAUUCAGAGGAUUUUCUUACCCUCAUUCUCUUUGAGCUGCCCUCUGGCAAGUCCGAGCUCUCGCUCGGACCGCUCAAGGUCCUUUUUCAGGACGUCCACCUGCGCAGUCAAUGCGGCGGUGGACAGCAGCGAAGCCUGCACAUGCAUAUUUGACCUUUUUUAUUAGUCUCCUGCGAUAAUUAUUAGAUCCUCUAUCCGGCUUUUCUUUCCGAACACCGAACAAAGCAUUAGGGACUACUGUCUAUGCGGUAAUAGAUUUAAUAUAUUAUUUACUUACUUGAAAGCCUGUUAGAAGGCUAGCGCAAGCUUCAUUCAGCCCGCUCUUGGCGGACUGAACCCUUUUGACCACCGUACUCAUAACAGUACGGUGCUCCUCGUCAAUGGUGGCGCCUUCAAGCGCCUCCAUCAAAUAGUCCGGCGCCUCUGGUUGGGCAGAGGUCGCCGGGUCUGACGGCUUACUCCUCUUGGAAGGAGUUCGCCUACCGCGCGCUGGGUCUGUCGGGACCGGCGCGGUGUCCGGCACAGGGCCGGACUUGGUGCCCUGGGGGGACUUAUCCCCUCCAAUCCUGGAGUCCGGGAGGUUGCCGUGCGGCUCCUCCAGGACCACCUCCUCCUGCCCAGGAGUUCGACGGGACGCCACUUCGGCAUCAUCCGUCCGGCGGGGGGAGACAGCGGGCGGAACAGAGUUCACGUCCGAAGAAUCCAGGGAAUUACUCGACGAAUCGUCGAGUGUGGUCCGGGGCGGCCUGCACAAUUACAUUUAAACAUAAGGGAAAGCUGCACAAAUGAAGGAAUAUCAUGAGUUACUCUGGUAUCCGAAUACUUACGACGUCGCCGGACGCUUGGCCCUUUCCGGCCGCUCCUCCUCGUCCUUAUUGGAGUCAGGGGAGUAGUCCGGCGGAGGGGUUUUCCUCUUUUUGGACCCCUUAGCCGCCCCCGCUGGGGCGGCCUUCCUCUUUUUUUCCUUCCCCCGUUGGAGGGGGAGGGAUUUCUCCUUCCUCCUCCUCGCUUUCACGAGGGGAGGACGUCGCAGACUCGCCAGAUGACGAGUCUGAUAGCACCACGUUGCGGGCACUCUUUCGAGUCCCGGUGGUCUUCUUCUUCUUGACCUUCUUGUCCGGCACCACAUAAGGUGCCGGAACCAGCAGCUUCUCUAAAAGAGCUGGGGCUGGGUCUUCGGGCAGGGGAGCCGGACAGUUGAUGGGUCCGGCUAUCUCUCGCCACGCCUGUCAAAGGUGAAGGGAGUUGGGAUCCCGCAUGGAGUUAAUCUAUGAAAAAGAGCUUAACGAACCUGUCAAAGGUACAGAUAGCUUACCUCGCUGGCGUGACGCUGCGAGCUGAAUCCGCGAUCCUCGAAAGCGGACGAGGGGGACUCGGCGCCUUUGGUCAGCACCUUCCAGACGUCUUCAUACGUCGUGUCGAAGAGCCUACUAAGGGUUCGGUGCCGCGCCGAGUCGAAUUCCCACAAAGUAAAAUCCCGUUGUUGGCACGAGAGGAUCCGGCGGACGAGCAUAACCUGGAUUACGUUCACAAGCCUGAUUGGCUUGCCCACCAGGGACCGGAUGCAUUUCUGCAGUCCAGUCACUUCUUCCUCGUUGCCCCACGACAGGCCCGUCUCUUUCCAGGACAUAAGCCGCGUGGGGGGUCCGGAUCUGAACUCGGGGGCUGCGAUCCAUUCCGGAUCGCGUGGCUCGGUGAUGUAAAACCACCCGGCUUGCCACCCCUUUAAGGUCUCCACAAAGGAGCCCUAGAACCAGAGGACGUUGGCCAUCUUACCGGCCAUAGCGCCUCUGCACUCCGCCUGGGUGCCGGACACCACCUUGGGCUUGACGUUGAAGGUCUUGAGCCAGAGGCCGAAGUGGGGGCGGACGCGGAGAAAGGCCUCACACACGACGAUAAACGCCGAGAUGUUGAGGAUGAAGUUCGGGGCCAGAUCGUGGAAAUCCAGCCCGUAAUAGAACAUGAGACCCCGGACAAAUGGGUGGAGUGGAAACCCUAGUCCGCGAAGAAAGUGGGGAAGAAAAACUACCCUCUCAUGGGGCUGUGGGGUGGGGAGAAGUUGACCCCCUUCAGGAAGCCGAUGGGCAAUGUCCUUGGACAAGUACCCGGCUUUCCUUAACUCUUUUACUUGCUCCUCCGUGACGGAGGAGGCCAUCCACUUGCCUCCCGCUCCAGACAUCGUAGGGGAAGGUUGAGGUGAGUACGGCGAGCUUAGGCGCUGGAGCUUGAGUGCGCAAGAGAUGGAUUGGCAGAGGAGGAAGAAGGCGUAAAGUGAAAACGGCGGAUUCUUAUCCCCUUAUAUGGUCGACUACGGUUAUGCGUCCCCACUUGCCUAAUAAAACUCGCUUGCCUCCCAAACGCUGUGUUAAACGGCACGGUUGGGUUACCCACGUCCGUAUUAAUGAGAAUCCCGCUAAAAGGGGUGCACGAUCUCUGCUUCGAUAAGACGUGCCAAGGAAACCGCCUCGUUAAACGUGCGGCGAUGCAACAGUAAAAUACUCCAUACAGAAAGCUUGGCCGCGAUGUUAUGAUACGUCGCGAGAUACGUCAGCAGAUUAGAUUUGUGUUAACAUUAUUCUCUAUAUGGCAAUACGUGGAAACUUAUUUUGCAGAGCCGGACGCUAUUUUUGGUGUUACUCGUCUUCUUGAAGAACUUGGAGGAGGAACCCGCCUUGCAAUGCCGAAGACAAUUCUCGCGCCGGACUCGUCAUUGAAGCCAGGUUCAGGGGCUACUGAGGGAGUCCUGGAUUAGGGGGUGUUCGGAUAGCCGGACUAUAUCUCCCGCCGGACUCCAGGACUAUGAAGAUACAAGACCGAAGACUCCGUCCCGUGUCCGGAAGGUUCUUUCCUUGGCGUAGAAGGCAAGCUAGGCGUGCGGAUAUUCAAGAUCUCCUCCCCAUGUAACCGACUCUGUGUAACCCUAACCCUGUCCAGUGUCUAUAUAAAUCGGAGGGUUUUAGUCCGUAGGACAACUUCAUCAUACAACAAUCAUACCAUAGGCUAGCUUCUAGGGUUUAGCCUCCUUGAUCUCGUGGUAGAUCUACUCUUGUACUACCCUUAUCAUCAAUAUUAAUCAAGCAGGAGUAGGGUUUUACCUCCAUCGAGAGGGCACGAAGCUGGGUAAAACAAAGUGUCCCCUGUCUCCUGUUACCAUCCAACCUUGACGCACAGUUCGGGACCCCCUACCCGAGAUCCGCCGGUUUUGACACCGACAGAGAUUAAACCUGCAUGUUUGCAAGAUGCUACUCCGCUAGGUGACCCGCCGAACUCUUGACAGUUACUCUUUCCAAUAAGUCCCUGAACUUGUCAAGGUUCAAACGGUGGCCUUCACGUGAGAGCCGGCUUACAGAGAGCUAGGAUAAACUCACCCAUUGUCGCAGUCUCGCCGCUAUGUGGCCGGUUUGUACUCUUACUAGUUACUAUUUUCAAUAAGACCUUGAACUGGUUAAGGUUAAAACAACGGAUUUACGUCACAUGAGAGCCGGCUUACGAGAUAAAAAUGAUUUUUUUUUCAAAAAAAAAACAGAACAGAGCUAGUCUCUUCUGGUCAUGUCUUCAAAGCCGACUUUUUAUACUCUAUCAUCAUACACAUAUAUCAUCAUGCAUUGCAUCAUACAUUGCAUCAUCAUAGCAUGCAUCAUAUAUGCAUGGAUAUACUGGUUUAUAUUGCAGGAAUCGGUUUUCAAACCGAGUUAUAUUAUUCAAAUCUUAAAUAGCUAACAUGGCUAGAUUUUCAUUCAACUAGUAUUGGAUGAUUGAGGUUUUCAAAGCCCCUUCAGAGUGAUGGCUAUUAUUUUUUCAUCCAAAAAUACCAACUCACAGUAGAGAGCAUGGUUCAAUAUUGACAUGCAAGGCGUUCAGCAGUAUCAUCCGGACAAUGGAUAUGGUUUUAUUUUACAAUGAAAGGAAUAGUCCCAGGUCGCUGCAGGCAUACGACCCGGCACUUGGGGGCUACAUUAUUCAAAUCAAGAUUACAUCAAGUAUGUAAGUCCCAUGUCGCUGCAAGCAUGCACCAUGGUACUUGGGGGCUAAUGCAAGUUGCUUUUCAAAUCAUCACAUUAUCAACAGACCUGGAUAUUUUAGGAAGAUGAGCCGGCCUUCUAUCUUUCUUCUAAGUCCCGGCCCAGUAUUAUCUUACUGAGCCGGCCCUUGGGGGCUACACUGGUUGAAGUUUUUAUGAGCAUAAGGCAAUUACAAGUCCCAGAUUGCUGCAAGCAAGACAACCCGGCACUUGGGGGCUACAUAUGUGAAACAUUCAGUUUAUGACUGGUGACUCAAAUGAACAACUCGGAUUUCUUCAAGGUUGCAGUAUUGAAGCAAGUCUUCAAGCUAUCACUACGUUCCCCUCUUAAGACUUGGGGGCUACAGGUAAUAUGGAUAUGAGAGAGGUAUGCCUUCAAAUUUUCAGUUAUGAGUGAACCAGGUCUCAUAUUUUUUGAUGAAGAAGUUUGCAAAGGUGAUCUCCUCCGGGAUAUUUAGACAACAUAACAUCAUAUGGAUUUUUUUAUCGAAGUAUGAAGUAUUGAAAGUUGGCACAACAUCAGAUGAAUUCUAUCAAAUCAAGGCAGUUGAAGAUAAUCAGGGUUAUUAUUUCUUUAAGAAUCCAAUGUCCGUUUAUUGACAUGACUCGGAUUCAGAAUUUUUCAGGAGCUGGUCAACUGGUAGUUUUUGAGUGAGCCGGUCCUUUUACAUAUUCUUAUUUUAAGAGUUUAGCAUGAAUAAGUUCAAAGCUAAACUGGAGGCUAACGUUGGGGAUACUAGAUGAUACCCCACGCGUUGCUGCGGAAACAAAUGCAAAUACACCUAUUUAUAGGAUUACAUGUAGAAAAUUAUAGAAAAAUUAGUACUAACAUGGAAAGAAUAUAAAGAAAAUACAUUUGCUAGCUGACUCGGGGAUUGCCACUGGCGCAAAAUUAUUCUCAUGUGUAAGAAGUCUCUAAUACAAAGGAAAUAACACUAAAGCAUCCGAACAAAAAAGUGGUUUGAAUACUUGUAAAAUUUGGCGCAAUGCUACAAUUUAUCUUGAUCCCUAGCACUCCAUAUGAAAAAUCAUCCUCAUAAUGUGAAAAAAAAUCAUUACUUAAGAGCAGUGACUGUAUAAGAGAAUAAUAUUCCAAUUAGCACUCUAUAUGAAAAAUCACCACAAUUAAUUUGGAACUAUAUUAAGCACAAAAUGGCUAUCUUUAAGUUUACAACUAUCAUAUACAAAAAAAGUGGGCCAACAAUAAUAUAUAUAUAUAUAUAUAUAUAUAUAUAUAUAUAUAUAUAUAUAUUCAUGUAAGUAUUAUGAAAAAACUAAGUGAAACACUAUAUCCUAAAACAUGGAGCGGCUGCAUUAUAUUGAACACUAAAUUUACAUAGAGGAUCUUCCAAAGAAACAGUGGAAAAAAGUCUCCAAAUUUGCAUUGAGCAUUCAAACAAAUUAGUGGGAAAGAAAAUUUUGACCUCAAUUGUGGGGUCUCACAAAUAAAUAAUGAAUGGGUCACCUUUGCCACAUAAGACAUGAUGAUGACAGACUUUGGCCAUAAAAGUUAAUUGUAUCUGCCUGUCAAAUAUCCCCACUUCACGGAUGCAAACUAAUCUUAUAUUACAAAACGAAUAGCAUAUCAAAGUACUAUAAGGUCCAAACAUUAAGCCUUAACCACAAUAUAAAUACAAAACUAUUUAUUUUUAAUUCAAAGCACUGAUCUUGGUUAUUUAUCUGAGCAAGAAAACAAUUUAUCUAUUAAUAUGUUCGCCACACUGCUAUCGACAAAUAGCAGUAAGGAAAAACAUCGAGGGAAGAACACGGUGCAUUUUGCCAAUGCACAACGUGAGCAGAGAAAACAAAAUCGCUUAGAGAAAAGGUCACGACGUAGAUGUCCACGAUAACAAUUUAGCAUCCCUUCAAAUUUCUGUUGGUAUAUAAUGACCUAUUGAGAAGAGCACUUCUAUCUAAGAACAUACUCCUAUUUGCUACCAUAUGUUCAAAUGAAAAGGCAACCCAGUGAAUUCAAUGCACGGACAUGUGCCUGGACAGGAGACUAUCAGAGGCGUGUGCGGCGUGGUAGCAUCCGAUGACGUAGACUGCGGUGUGGCUAGUGGGAAACAACUGCAAAGGAAUAAUAUGACCGACAUGCCACACAGAAGUAUGUCAACAGUGGUAUUCACCAUCUCGCAGAUGAAUGUAAGUGCAUCGAUGCUCACCUGGUAUGCUGAUGUGAUCAUCCUGAAGGUACACUCCCUAUGGAAAUCAUCGUUGCUGAUUUAGUCGGGCUUCUCGCUGCCCCCAACGCCUUUCGGAGCAGAGCAACGACACGUAAAGGACUCAGCGGCUGCCUUGCUCAUCGAUCUAGGAUGGCCGGACAAAGGAGAACGGCCCAGCCCGCGUCCGAAUACUCAUAGAAACAUCAAGAGGCGGUCCCAACACUCACAGAAAGAUCAAGAGGCGAGACGUAUGGGCAAGCAUGGCGGAGGAGGUACGGAUGAGAGCACCGGUGGGUGGCCGGCAAUGGAACGACGGACCAGCAGCUAACCUCCCAUCACUAAGAGAAAAUUUGGGGUCGAGGCGGACCGGACGGCCUGGCGGAGGAAGUCUGGAGGAGAGCAACAAUGCGCACAGGUCGACUCAGCUCUGUCUUGCUGGAAGAUCUGGGUGCUCGGCAAUUGAACCGCGGCCCGACCUGCGACCCAACAGCCAGGGUGUCGUCAGAGGCAAGGCAAAUCGACGGUCUUAUGAGAGGAUGGCAGCACCUAAAAGCAAAGGCGAUGCCCACCCUGUUAAAUCCAGCGAUUCUUCAUCAAUUGCAGGGUAACGGAGGGACCGUAAUGUGGCUGAUUAAUGCUGCAGUUUCAUCUGGCAUAUGCGAGGUUACGGUUGCGGCAGCAGAAGAGAUAGUGACCGGGAUGAGAGUCGCGACGCAGGGAAGAGAGAUGUGAGUGGGAACCUAACAAGCAUGGGCUACAGUCCACAUACCAUAUGUUGAUUUCGGUAGCCAGCCCAACAGCGACAGAUCCAACUCUAGCCCACGUACGAAACCUGAGCGGGGACAGUGCGAUCAAAGAAUUGAAUCGUUAUUUUCCACUUAGCGGUGGCAAGUCUCAGUAAAUUGCACAAAACAUGAUCAGACGGCUGCAAACUCUUGAACUCUUUUGCGUCAAUGGCUAUAACAAUCGGGAUGACGUGGCUCCACAAGGAUUCAGGAAAAUCAGCUAGUGGGGUGUCCCUAUUUAGAUAUACAAGAUUCCUCACGACCAAGACUCGGCUCAUAAGGAUAAGCCGCCCUAAGGUUUAAGUCAUUUUUGGGUUUAAGUCGACAGGACGUUAAGUCAUCCCAGAUAGUCUAUAACCCGGCAGACAGUUAUGACCCGGCAGAUGGUUAUGACCUGACAGACAGGUAUGACCCGGCAGAUGGUUAUGACCUGACAGACAGGUAUGACCCGGCAGACAGAGUCGCCUAGGGUGAAGAAACCCAAGACGUUAAGAAGCCCACGGUGAGAAGUCAGAAUAAUUUAAGUCUUAGUCCGACUUGGGCUCUACAUGUAACCCGCCCCUUCAACUUAUAUAAGGAGGGGCGGGGCGCCCCAAGAGGGUCAGGUUUUUCUCUAGACGUCUCAAUAGAUAAGUGUUAGACAAGAUCAAAGUAGAUGCUCUCGAGAUAGAGGUGGCGAAACCUCGCCCUUGUAACCGAGAUCGUCAUCAUCAUCAAUAUGAAUCAAGCAAGAUGUAGGCUUUUACCUCCACCGCGAGGGGCCAAACCUGGAUAAAAUCUCGCGUCUCUCGUCCCGCUCAACCCCUCUCAAGUUACAAAUUAGAUGUGUUGGCCUCAAGACUAAGUCCUUUUCACGAGGACAUCUGCCGUGACAAAUCCACGAUAGGGUGGAACAUAAUCUUCCCCCUCAUCAUCUUUCACCUUGCCCUUCUUCCUUGUUACAAACUAUGGAAACAACCUUUCAUCCUCAUCAUCACUUGGCCAAUCAUCUGGUAGUCCCUCUUCAGUAUAGGGGUCACCUGAAUCUCUUCUAUGAGAGGUACCUACAUGCCUAGGAACUUCUACAAUAGGUGUUCCUGGUGUCUGCAUGGAACUGCUGCCUCUACUAUGAGUUGUUGUUUUUCUGCCCCUUGAUUGGCUAGUCCUACCUUUACCUCUAGACCUAGACUGAGAUCUUGUUCCUCUGCUCUCUGGCUCUCCUCUCUGCCUUUGUAUGACACUGAUUUCUAGUUUGGCAGGGAAAAAUCAUGUAUUGCAAACAUGAUACCAAGCUCAUCAUCACACUGGACAGGGACCCAAGCUGGUUUGUCAAUGUCCCAGUACCCGAAUUCCACUGCAUCAUAUAGACCCCAUGGAUAUUGAGCACAUAUGGCAGAUCUAAACUGAAUAAAAGUCCAUUGAUUAUCAGCAACAAAAGGAAAAGAGAAUCCUGUAUUGGAUGCUUUUGUGCUAGCACUAGCUAGAAGUGUGGUUUCCAUUCUACAUUGCUGUUAUGUUGGAUGUAGAUGAUUUGUUAGUUUUUCUUGAGUGCAUAAUGUCUGUUGUGUUAAUCUUCAGGUAGAUGUGCAAGCUUUAAGAGAGAAAAUUAUUGUUGCAACUGUUGUCAAACAAGUGCAACAGAAUAAAACUACCAUUUGUGAAGGACUUCAUAGAAAAACAUGUAAGUGCAUUAUGCAUUAUGUUUCCUUCCUAAUUUUUGAAACUUGUGGAGUAAUUUCAUUUUCUUGCUCAUGUAGCUUCAACACUUGGAGUAAUUCAGGUUUUCUGUUCCAAAUUGUUUCAAGGUCUGGACAAGUUCGAGUAAUUGGAAACUGUAGCAUGGGAGAACUUGAAGUAACACAUCUUCCAAGGAAUAGGAAUUAUCUUUCAAAAAAUCCUAUUCCUCUAACUUUGUCACUUAUGCAUUCACUUUUCUUUCUAAUUUUUAUAAAUCAUAAUCAGUCAUGCUCACUUAAGAUCUGCUCAUCAUGUACCUUUGACACUGGAAGUAAUUCAGCUUUCUGUUCCAAAUUGUUACAAGGUCUGGACAAGUUGGAGUUCAUCAUGGCAAGCAAAAGAAGUACUUAAUGUAGCAUGGUAGUUCAUCAUGGCAAGCAAAAGAAGACGUUAAAGUAAUGGAUCACUACACAGUAACAUGAAACACUAUCUUACAAAUGUGGAAAACAAUUGAGAAUUUAGCAAGCAUUAAAGUAAUGCAUUACCGAAUGUUUACUAUCCAUGAAUAGUCAUUUUCAAUUGACUACUUUGAAACUAUCCAGGAAUUGAUUACAUUUUCUAUUGAGUGAAUGUUACUAUCAAGUAGAAACAGUUAGUAUCCAUUUUUUCUUCCCUGCCUUUUUUAUUGAUGAUCUUUGUCGUUUGAUGGAUACUGAGGAUUGUUUUCCCUAGGCCUAUACCAAAAAGAUUAACAAGAAAUGAGGAUGAAUUUUGAGAUUGUUUUUCUUUUUCAAGCAGUUACUUACUCUUGGAGUUGGAUACUCCUUGAUAUAUUCAGACUGAGAGCAACUCAACGAUUUUGCUGUAUAAUUAACUCAGUUUGAUCGACCCGUCCCUUUCCUGUGUAGCUCCUACUGCGAUCCACCCAUGCAUGUAUCGUGAUAACAGAGUAGAGCAGAGGUUUGAAUGAAUGAUCUAUCGUCCUAGCUACCGGUUGUCUGUACUGUAUUGUACUGCACUGUAGGUAUGAUGAGCACAACAGAGCAGAGGAGAGGAUGGUAGAGCUGAGGUCCAUCCAUCCAUCAUUCAUUCAUUCCUUCGCUGAACCUCUGCUUGCUGCUGCUGCAGCAGCACAUUAAACUCCUCCUUGCCAACAACAAUUUGGUUUCAUGAUGAUUUUAUUUCCGAAACAUUUUUAGAAAAAUUUGUGAUUAUUUUAAAAUCGACGGACAGUUUAAAAAUCCAGUGUUCUUUUCUAAGUCGAGUAGAAAACUGUAGUCGUUUUUUGUUUUGUUAUUAGGAGGCAGCGCGGACGAUGUCGAUGAGCAUCACUCUGUUGACGUUGUCUACCUACUUGAACCACCUACAAUCAAUCAGUCACAUUUCCAUUGCGCUUGCCACCUAAUAACUACUAGUGACUAGGCGCGGUACGUAUAUAAACAGGUACAAUCAAUCACGGGGCUCACACCACAUUCACUCUUUUAGAGAAGCAACAAAAAGCCAUGGCUAAGAUGAUAACUAUUCUCAUCUGUUUCAUCCUCUCCUCUACUACCUACUACUAGUACUCCUAUGAUGUAAUCGCUCCUCUGUCCUGUGCGGCUGUGCGUAUUGUGUUAUCACUUGUCAGACCUUAUUAAUAUACAUGAAAUUUUGUGUUGGAAAGAACCUGCUGCGUCCCGGACGCACUGGGGUUCCUGCCUUACAUGGAGGUGCUUGACCUCAGCAGCAACGUGCUGUCGGGCCACCUGCCGAGCACGCUGUCGGGCCUAUCCGGCAUCGAGGUGCUCAAUCAACAUCGCGCACAACCAGUUCACCGGCGAGCUGCCGGAGCUGGUGUGCGACCUGAGGCGGAUCACGAACCUCUCAGUCUCCUUCAACUUCUUUUCCGAUCAGCCGGGAUUGCGACCGGCUGGCGGGGCCGAGCGUCUUCGACUUUGCGGGCAACUGCGUCCCGGGGCGGGGCAUGCAACGGCCGCAGCCCGAGUGCGACGACGCGCCAGGGGACGUCGGGCUCAGCUGCCUGCGCAUCCCGGGGUCGCGCCCUGUUGCGUGCGCCGAGGCCGCGGUCUCCAUCCAUCGGCAUCGGCGUCACCUUCGGGGGCGCGCUGCCGUUUGGGAUGUCAGGCGGCGGCGCCGGUGUCACGGUCACCGUCCCCUGAUCGUACCAAGCGGGCCGGGCAUGUACUCUCUUGGCCGAGCGCCUGGAUCAUUAUGUGACGGUGGUAAUCGGUUGGUUUUUGGCUGGUUAAUCCGUCCUGACAUACAUUUUUGCAUGCCUACAUUAACCAUGCAGCUGGUAAGCGCAUGUAGUACUAGAGUUUUUUCUAAACCCGUAGUAAUCUGAAACCUAAUAUUUCAAUGCAUGAGCACCAAGUAAUUCAGCUUGUAGAAACCACAUUGUUUCUCGGUUAAGUUCGAAAAUAACCGAGCUGCCAAAGCGCUGUUUCUCAGUUAAGUUCGAAAAAUACCGAGCUGCCAAAGCGCAACAGGGCGAACCCGUGAUGCCUUUGCCCCAGCUGUGUCCUGAAAGCUCGGACGUGAAUACAGAAACAUAACUAGUGAAGUACCAGUAUAAGUCAUAUAUACAGUGCACCAAAUGUUCGGUGGUUUCAUGACUGGAGCAGCUUGUAAAUGUGUAAUGAUAGCAAUGCAGCAAUCGGAUAAAAAUAAUAAAAUAUUACUGCCACCAUCUCUUUUUUUCCAUCACACUUUGAUCUCAUAAUUCCACAUUAUCAGGUAUGUAUCUCUACUACUAAACUUCUUUAAACGCACUCCACAAAUAUACACGAACCCAUUACAACCGCAGGAUUAGGCCCAUUAAACUCAAUCCAACCGCUAGCCUUGAUCUAAUCCAUUUUCUAUGUGCAUUUAGCAAUUUACCUUGACUGACCGUACUCCGCCCCCAUUUUCUGUGUGCACUUAGUAAUUUACCUUGACUGACCGUACUCCGCCCGGCGUCCGCAACCUCUCUUCCGUGAUUAGCGCCCACCUCUCCACUCAAUCCACCGCAUAACAAACUCCGCGCCCGAGUCCUCGACCCCUAUAAUCACGCACGCAAGGCAACAACAAAAAGAAGAAACUAGCGGCCAUCAAGCAACGAAACAACCCAAAGGAUGAGGAGUCUUCGUUCUCGACCGCCGCUGAGAUGGAUUUCUUCAGGAAGGCCGUCGGGGUGCGGGAGUGGAGCCACGCUAUUGGUGAUGAACCGGAGCGCGCGGCGCUCGGCCCGCGACGGCGUGGCCCUUGUCAAGCAGCGACGGCGGUGUUAGCGUUAUUCCUAAACGUCCGAGCGGCGACGGCGGAUGACUAAUGGUUGUUGACGAUGGCAGGCGACGGCGGCGUGCUCUGUCCGGCGGGGCCGGGCGGCGCGUGUGGCAUCGCGGGGGAGGCGGGCCUGUAAUGAGGGUGGUCGAGGCGGUUCACAGUGGAACUCGGGCUCUGCGGACUGCGGGCAUGGCAUGGCCAUGAAGGCAGCGGGUCCUGGGCGUGCUUUGCGCGACGCGACGGGCAGCGGGUGGGACGCUGGGGCGAUGCCGGGAACGCGUAUAUGUGUGGCCAGGAGGCCGAGCUCGGCGCAUCACCUGCGCAGGCGCAUGGCAGCGGUAACUGAUAGCGCACUCAACCAGAGAACGGCGGCGGACAACGGUGUCGGCGACGGCGGCCAGCGCGCGAACCAGCGUGUCGUGACGACACGCGCGGCCAGCAUGGCCAGGGUGCCUUGCGGAGCAGCGGCUGCCCGACGAGUGGCGGCGGUGUGCGGGCGGUGGCCAGCGCGCAUGGGCGGCAAGCUUGGCGACAGCAUGUGUGUCAUGCGCAGGCCAGCUCAGCGUCAAGCACACGAGCACGAGGUGCACAUCCGACUGCUGCUACUUCACUACUGUAUUUUGUAGUUGUUGCUAUGCCGUGAGCGCGGUGCUGAGGAACGAUGUCAGCCUCGACGCAAUCAAAUGACUCCUGACUGCGGAGCAGUGCCGUCGAGAAGUCAAUGGUGAAGUGCACUUUAGGUACAAACGUCAGGUUUUAAUUGCACAACUAUAGAGUGGAGUAUUGCUAAUGGUAUAGUGUAUUUGUAUUAUCUGCAUUUUUAUUUGAAGGCAAUACUUUGUAAAGUUUUUCACUGCCCAUGUAUAUAUUUUCAACUUUGUCUAAUAAAAUCAAAGUUCCGAUUAUAUUUGGGCAGCCAAAACUGAGGUUUAUAGAGUACCCUGCUCAUGAGGCCAACUAUGUCAUGCUCUCCAACGUAUUCAUAUUGACGCAGAGAUGGAAGGAGAAGUUAGCAUCGGGUGUGAAAUGAGAUGAUAUAGAAAAUGCAAUGUUUUGAUUGCAUGCAACUUGUUUUCUUAUUUUUCAUCUAAUUUCCAGUCUUCUUUUCUAUUGCAAGAUAUGGCAUUUUCCUUCUCACCACUUCCCGUAUGAACAUAUUUGAAAACAAGCGGUGCUCUGAGUUGUUGAUAGGUAUUGUCAUUACUGCAUAAUAACAAGAUACGGUAUGUUCUCAUUUACUUGUAUUUGUUCUUCCAUACUAAGAGAGUUGUUGUCCACUAGAAUUCUUUGUGUUCUGUAAUUUAAAGUCUUGCCGUGGAAUAUGAGGUUUGAGUACCGUAUCUGUUGAACUGAAGUUAAUCCAGUUACAAAUAAUAAAGUAUUGAAUAAAUUAUCAUACACCAGGGCUCCAUGAGUGAAUAACAGAACAAUACAUUUGAUAAAAUGAAAAUGUUUAGUUUCGAUACCAAGCAGGAAAACAGCUAGGUUCCUGUUAUGAAAUGAAAAUGCUCUAUGGUUUCCACAUUUUCAUUUUUAUAUGUGAAUCUUAGGAAGUUUUCAUCUUAUAGUGUGAUGUACAUCCAUGUUAUGCAUUUGCACUAUCUCUCACUGAACUGGUACCUCCACAAUGACACCAUAGUACAAGUCACCUACUUAUGAACAACUCUGUCAUGGGUUCAUCUCCCAUGUUGAUUUGCUUUCCUUGAUGGUUGCAUGUUAGAACUCAAUGUUGCAAAAGAAGUUUUUCCCUAACAAAAUAUAUUUUUUGUUUAUGUGGAAAAACACCUUGCUGUAUAGAGAAAGUGGAGAAGCGAUAACUACCCUUGCCUGAAGGUGCUUUGUCUCAACCUGGCCAAUGCAUGGAAAUGGUUGAUUUUCUCUUGCAGUAACAUUGUAAAAUAUAUUAUUUCUAUUUUUCUUGUAUACAAGGAUCGAGCAUGGAGGUUUCAUUUCGACAUACGAGUGUUUGUGACAUUCCAAAUUUUGACAUCACUGUAUUUUUAUAAGUCCAACACCUGAUGAAGAUCAUCUUUUGACAGUUUUUGACAUCACCAACUUCUGACAGGUUUUAUAACCAACUUUUGACAUCACUAUAUAUUAUUUUAUCAUUGUAUAGCUUGUGCACAUUCGUAUCAGCACAUCUUGAACACGGGUGAAUAUGAACCCGCUUUUCAAAAAUGUAUUUUAAACACAUUUUGUAAUGUCAAAAAAUUUAAAACAAAAUGGUGUGCAUACAUGUUCGCAAAAAUAUGUCCAUGGGACAAAGUUUUAUAAAAAAAAGUCUUUUAUUUUGUCCUAGCAAAGAAGACAAAUUUUAGUGCUUCUAAAUAGCGUUUCGUGACACAAUGUUUUGUAUUUUUUGCACAGGCCACAAAAAAAAAA